CCUCUCCAUCUUCAUCAUCUUCAGGUUCCAUUGUCGGCCUAGCCGAUGGCAAUGAAAAUGAUUGUUAUGAGAUUCUUCCUUGUAUACCAAAAUUAUAGGCACUCAUUGCCCAAAAAAAAAGAAAUUUUUUUUUCUAGACCUAGAAAUAUUAUGGCCCAUUCUAAAAAAUUGCAGGCCUAGCUACUCCUGUUAGCACAAGUGGUUAAACCAACAAGAUUCCAAUUCGAGUUUUCAAAACGUUGAUCCUCCAUUUAUAAGAGUGAUAAAUAACUUUCAGUGCAACAAACAACUUUUCUAACUUUUCAAAAAGCAAAUAAUUUGCUUUACGAAAUUUUCAAAAAGUCAAUCUCAACCUCCUUUAUAUAAAAAGCCUCCUUCUAAGCUUUGGAUGCAGAACUACAUAGACGAGUUUCUCUGUAGAAGGCAUCAAAUACUAUCCUUUUGUAAUUUCAUGUAACCUUUUGUAUUGCCAUCUAUUAUCCUAUAAACAUAUCCGUAUUUUUGGAUCUAAACCAUAUAACAUAUAUCUCCUAUAUUGGUUUCUAUACAAAUUUAAGUAAGAUUCCUUUAAAUCACAUUUCAACAUAUAUACAUAUAUUUAAAUUCUACUCAUUAUUCUGUAUUUACAUUUCUGCAAAAUUAAGUAUGCUCUGUGUUUGUAGAGGAUCUUGUCAUUUCUAGACUUGCAUUUUCAUUCACAUCAUAAAUUUAUUUAUAGUUUUGUAUUUUGUUUUAAAAUCAAAUAUGUCGGCCAGAAACCUGUGACCACAUUUUAAGAUCAUUCCUAGAUGUAACAACGCCAUAUGUAUAUAACAUUUAUAUUUUUUUUGUAUCCAAUAUAAUAUAUAAAUAUAUCAAUACUGACAACAUAAAGCACGUGUGUAGGAUAAACUUGAGAAUUUCCUGGUUAACUCCUGAUAUUUAAAUAUUAGCCUCACUUGUAGGUCCAAUAUUUAUACCAAAAUAUUAACCAUUAAUUCAUGAAUUAAAAAUUUAGUGAUUAUUGGAAUACUAAUCAAAUUCUAAUGGAUUAAAUAAAUUGAUUAUUAAAUUUAAAAUGCAUGUAAAGAUAUAUUUUUUGAAUUUUAUAAAACAAAUGCUAAAAUACCAUAUAUAUAUAUAUAUAUGCAAAAAUAUAAUUUUUGUAUUUUUGAGAAACCUGAUCUUAUGCAAUUUAAAAUAAAAUUGUAUUCUUUAAAAGAAAUUUUGUUUUUUUAAAAGAAAACUAAUUCAUUUAAUAUAAAAAAACACCUCACGUAUAAGUCAUCAUUACAUAUAUUAAAUAUGAGGGGUAAAAAAGAUAAAUAAUUCAAAAUUAAUUGUAAAAUAAUUUUUUAAAAUUUUUUUAAAAAUAAAUUAAGGUUUACUAGUCACGUGUAUUGGCUUCCUAGACUAACAAAAAAAAAAAAAUAUGAAGCAGGCUUGAAUAAGACUAAGCAGGCUUUAAAAAAAAUGGCCCAGGUUCGUUUAUUUUAAACGAAUUGGAAAGGCUUUUAAAAAAAAUGGCCCAGGUUCGUUUAUUUUAAACGAAUUGGAAAGGCCCAUAUUAUAGAUGUUAAUUAAUGGAUAGCUUGCAAAAUGAAAAUCUAGAAUUUCUUCAUAUUCUCAAAAUGAAAGAAAGAAAGAAGGAUACAGGUUUACCUUUUUUAGUAACAUGCGAAAUACCGAAAGCAAGCAAGAGAGAUGUUCACAUGAUGAGGGUUAACAAACUUCCAUUUCUAAAACAAAGCAUGUCCUUCGAUCAUCACUCAUGUGCAUGGAUUUUUCUAUGUUGCUACAAGUAUGAUUAUCAUUGGUUGCUUGGGUCUGGUCAAGAAUCAGCUGGAGUUUGCUGGAAUAAGUUGUUGGCCUUGGACAACUACUACUGAAGUUUGUUGCAUAAACUGAGAAGAGCUGCGACUGCUCACGUUGCUGUUGGACUGAAACUGGUGGUCUACUGCUACUCAAGUUGUUGGCCUUGGGACAGCAGAGGAAUAUCUACUGAAAUUUGAUGCUGCUCGCAGUGACUUUGGACAGUUGAGGAAUUACUGCAAACAAUGCAGAUAGCUUGCUGACAGGAGCCGAUCUUGCAUAGGAAAAUGGAGAGUAAAUUAAGGAGCUGUGGAUCUAGGAUGAGAGCUGAUGGUGUUAUUGGCGCGGUUGGUCAAUGCUAAUGGAGGGUUAGUUGUUGGGUUAAUGUUGUUCAUGGUGCAGAAAUGAAACUGGGCGUGGCUGCUGCUGCUUACAGUGAAGUUAAGAAGAGCUGGCUAUGGCUGAUGAAGAAAAAAAUUUUCUAUGGAGGCUGUUCUUCGCUGAAACAGGAGCUGAAGUUACUGUGAUUGAAAACAAAACUAGUGGUCUGCUGGGAGAAGGUUGCUUUGAUGAGAGAUGAUAGUUUUGGAAGGAAAUAUUAAUGGCUAAUGUUGGCUAACAACUAGUUUAGUGGUGAGGGUGGAAGAAUGGGACGGUAAUUUGGGAAGAUCUGUCGUGCAUGGUGGUUGAAGAAGUGAAAGGCAUCUGGGUGUGGUUGUCACUGGUGCAGAAGGAGGAAGUGCUGCUACUGCUUUCUAGAGCUCACCGUGCCUGUGGAAGAAGAAGUUGCACCGCUGGAGGAGAAGAAGUUGCAGUACCGCUGGAGGAGAAGAAGCUACACCGCUGGAUUUUAGGAGAUGACAUUCUUAUGGUUGUUACCGUCGUGGUGCCUACAGUGUUGAUGAGGAGCCGCCACCCUUGCUGGAGAACCAACGCUGGUCUUUAAUGGAGGAGCUAGUGUUGGGGAGAGCAGAGUGAAUUAUUUUUUUCUCUAAUCUUCAUGUUUACUGUUUGUCUCUUUGUUGGAGAGAAUCCUGUAGAUGGUUUGGACUUUUCUUUUCCUCUUUUCCUUGGUUUUUUUAACCAAUUCUUUCCCCUUUUCAUGUCUGUGGUAUGACCAUAUUUUUAUUAAAAAAAAUUUUGCCUUGAAAGGAAAGCAACAUCAAUUAUUAAAUUUUAAAAAUAAAUCUUAACUAUUACUUGAAGACAAAAAGCAAAGAAAAAUGGACUUUGAAUUAAAAGAAUAAUUGUAAAUCAUUUGAUUUAAAAAAUGGGAUGCUUGAUAAGAGAGUUUUCAACUUUCAAAUUGAUCAUCUUUCUUCCACAAUUAUAAUUAGAUCACUAAAAAUUAAAUGUAUUUUUUUUUCUUUUUAAUUUUAAAAUUCUUUAGAAAAGACAUCAAAAACGACACAAAUACAUCAAGAACAUAUUUUUUGGGUUUUUUGUUAUUUUUUGCAAUUUUUUAUUUUUUUUAAAAAAAAUUCAAAAAUAGGAUCGAAAUUUAGGUAGCAACAACCUUAUUUGGCAAACUUUUAUGCUGCUUGCUUGUUGUCUUUCUUGUUUUGUUUUCGUUUAUAUUAGUUGAUAUUAGAACUCAACGAUUCUUAAUGAUUAAUUAUUGUGGGCUAUUGAAUAACUAUGGCUGGAAAAGGUCGUAUAAUAAAAUGUGAUCAUGUAGUGAGGGAUAAAGAGGUUCCCUUUGGGAAAGAGAUGUUCAAGAACUUGUGAUAGUUAUAGAUAUGUGGAGAUAUAUAGCAAAAUUCACUUGUCAUAUGGUAUAGAUGAGAACCCGUAAGAAGAGUGAUCAUGGAUCCAUAUGAUUAACUCUGAAAACUUGUUUUAAAAGUGAAAACAAAAGAGAUGGCCUCUUGAUCGGGAUAUAUCAUAGGGAUUUAAAUUUUCAGAUAAAGCUGCAUGAGUUCACGAGAACCUUGCAGGCAUAGGAGUUAUUGUUUGGUUGGAUGAAGUAGAGAGGGUUUUGAGUAUAAGAAAGUAUCGGGGAAGAUAAAGGUGAAGUUAUUCAUCAUCAGAUUGAAGGUGUGAGCUUCUGUUUGGUAGAAGUAAUUGAAAAGUUCUUAGGAAAGAUAAGGCAAAUAAAAAAUAAUGAUUGGAAGAAGAUGAAGGAACAAUUUCUUUUACUAAUACUUUUUACCAAUUAUUUCAUGCAUUGAGACAAUGUUAGAGGACUAUUGAUGAGUACACUAAUGAUUUCUAUCAAUUGGUGGCAAUGAAUGAUCUAUCAUAAAUGGAAAAGCAUUGGUUAUCAAAGUACCUAACUAGAUUAUGGUGGUCUAUUUAGGGCGUGCUAUGUUUGCAAUCUUUGUUGACAAUUUUCAAAGCCUUCAAAGGGCUUUGACUAUGGAGAAAUAAACGAUUGCUAGGAGACAACAUGUUCAAAGGUAACUAAUAUAGGCGAUUUUUAGUCUAAAUAGAAUAAUAAGGGGUGCGCACUAGCAAACAUAAAUAAUUUGUUUAACCUGAAUUAACAACUAAAUAAAUUAUAGAUUAGGGUUCUAGAUUUGCUUUUUUAUUUUGAUAUUUUAAAAGUGGUGAGUUGGGGUAUCUGAUUUUUUAGUACCAUAAACUAGAGUCAUUUGGAUAAAAAUCUAUUGGUAGAAGAACAUGAUAAGAAUGUGGGUGAUCUUAUUUAUGAUGUUUUCGAUGAUAAUGAGGAGGUUUUGCAAGGUGAUAAUAAUGCUACUUUAGUUAUCCAAAAGAACUUUCUUGCUUUCAAAGAUAAUUUGAAUGAGGAUUGACUAUGAAAUAGUCUCUCUCUUUUAACUUGUGACAUUAAGGAUAAGGUAUGUAAUAUAAUCAUAUAUAGUGAUAGUUGUGAGAAUAAUUAUUGACGGAAAGAAACAAGUUAAAUGAAACUAUUGAUUCCCUUUAAAAUUUGUGGUAUAUUAAGAAGUUUGCGACCUAUUAAUUUUCUUUAAAAUAAUAGUUGUUGACGAAAAGAAACAAGAAACUUGGUGUUAAACUAAAAUUUCAAAAUGGAGGGUUAUGAUAAUAGCUAUGAUGGCAGUGGUGGCAAUGCAUGAGAUGGUUCUAGUGGAAGUGGAGAUUGAGAUAGUAUUGCUAGCGGUACAAACACACACAUCCAUGCAUGUUCAUAUCAUAAAUGUGACUGCUUAAGUAGCCUAUUAAAGCCUAAAUCCUUAUCGUUGAUCUCUUUUCCUAUUUUUAUCAAUUUGAAUAUGUAGUUUUGUGGUUGCUUUUUUAUGCUUGUACCAACUUCAUCAAAUUUAACUCCUUUCCCACCAUCCAGCUUCUUUCUAGCACUAGCAUCACCCACCACCAUUCCAGAAUCUAUAAAAUUCGAUAAGCUUUCUUGGUUAAUAUAGCCUUUUUAACUCCUUUCUCACCAUCUAGCUUUUCUUUAUCCUUUUCUUGAUUAUUUUAUUUUUUAAUUUAGUCCCUCAUUAUUUUUUUUCAUUUAGUUUUUAUAUCAGAUUUGAUCCUUAUUGUUUUAGUUACUAUUUUUUUAAAAAAAUUAGAUGAUUAGGAAUUUCGCUUCAUGAUUUUGUUUUUGUGCAUGCCUUUUAUGGGUAAUCUCAAUCCUAUAACCUAUUUCACGGGUUUCAAUUUCAACAUUUUACAUUAGGUUAUUGGGCCUUAAACUUUAUGAUUUUUUCAUUUUCUUUACUGUGGGGUUAUCCUUAUUUAAUAUCCCGAGUCGCGCGUUAGUCAAGUUAAUUUGUUUUUGUUUUUAUUUUUUAAAAAUUUAUUUUUUUUCCUUUUUUCAUUUAGUUUACUUGAAAGUUGACAUCCAUUGUUUUAUUCAAUUUUUUUUGUGUGAGAUUAUCCUAGUCUCAUAACUAGGUCACAAAUUUAGCAUGCCGACUCAAGUAAGGUUUUUUUGUGCUUUUUCCAAAUUGAUUUUUUUCUUAGUUCAUCCUUUAACAUUUUCUUUUCUAGUAAUAAGGUUAGGGUUUCUUUCAUUUUCCUCUUUAUGAGGUUAUCUCGUCUCAUUUAAUUUUGUUCUUGUUAUCAAAUAAGAUAUUUGAGACCUUUUAAGAAUAUUUAGAGGGAAUAUUUUAGUAAUAUUAGCAAGCAUUAAUUUUCUUUAUUAGUCAUUGGCUUUUUUUUAUGUUUUUUUAUUGUCGUUGGAGUUUUUAAUCAUAUUGUUAAAUUAAGGGACAAUUACAAAAAUCCUCUUAUAGUUUGAUUUGAAAUUCACUUUCCCUCCAUACUUUUAUAAAUUACACUUUCCAUCCUAGAGCUUAUAUGUUCAAUAACAAUUUACAUCCUUAACAAUGCAUUUUUUUUGAAUUUUUUAUUUGAUCUAGGAAGUGAAGUGUGAUUUAUGAAAGUCUGGAGGGAAAGUGAGAUUCAGAUCAAACUAUAGAAGAGUUUUUUUAAUUAACCCUUAAAUUAAUCAAGAUUGUUGAGCCCAUUCAAAUCAAUAACUUAGGUACCAUAUUUUUCUUGCUCCUUUAAUUUUUUAAUUUGUUUAAUUCUAUUUUGAUUAGGAAUAUGAUUUGUAUUUGGACCAACUUAUUAGGAACUUAAUGGGUCACGCAUAUUAAGAAUUAUUAGUAAUAAAUUAAAGUGAGAUGAUUAAUCAAGUGAGACUUGAUUGUAAAUAAGUUUUAGAAAUUGAGAUUUAUAAUGUAAUUUAUAAAGGGAAUUACAAUUCUAGAUUUAGAAAAAUCAAGUAGGAAUUUGAUUGCAUAAAUUUCUAAGACUAAUUUGGAAUAAUAUGUGUGAUAUUUUCCAAGGAUCAAGGUGAUAUUUUUAUUAAUAGGGUUGUCAGGCUAUCCUAUAAAUAUAAUAUUAUGCCUUGUAUUUUUCUGAUGAUAACUUAUCAGAAUAUUUUUCUUUAUACAUACUUUAGACAUCAUAUACACCUAUACAUAUAGGUAGAAUAAAGAAAAUAAAGAGCUAGCACUUAAGACAUAACAAUCCAAUCCUUUUCUUUUAAAAAUAUUUUAGAAGAUUUCUGAUAUGGUGGUUCGUGUAGAUUACUAUUAGAAACUGAAUAAUUAGACAAUUUGUGAUUUGUGAUAAUUCAACAUUGAAGAGUUGGUCAAACCCAAAAAGAAGAUCUAAUAUUCAAAUAAUCUUUGCACAAACUUUAAACGAUCUUAGAUUGUUUAAUGAGAUCCUUGAGAAUUCUAGAAAAUUUUAAAAUUAUUUUUUUUGUUGCAUUUAUGUAUUUCAAGAAACCUAAUAUAAACUCUUAUGAGCCACUAGAGACUUAAAAGAAAUAUAUCUUUCAACUGCAUAUCAUCUCUUACAUCUUCCCUAUAAAUAUAUACAACACAAUUUUAAAGGCUUUCCUACUACUUUUGUGCUAAUUUAAGCUUUGUAAGAUCUCUUAUCUUAUAUGUGAGACUUAUUUUAUGGGUUCUCAUAGAGUUCAAACCUAUUAGCCUUAAUCUACCAAUUCUCUUCCUCUGUAUCCUUGCACAUCAUAUACAUAUAUAGUAUGAGAUUGUAAAUCAAUACUAAAAAUUGCUUGAAUUUUUGAAAUUUUGCAAGCUAAUGCUAAUAAUUUCUCAAAUACUAGCAUUCUACCAAAUUUUAUUGGGUUUUUUGUGUUUUUAUAAUAUCAACAAUAAUUUUUGCAUGUCAAAAUGGUGGUGGUGGUAUGAGGGAAGAUGACAAAGGCAAAACGAAAAUCAUCUACGCUUGAUGUUGUUAUUAUUGUAGUAUUUGCAGAAGUGAUUUCAAUAACAAUAAUGUCAAUGAAAAAAUAGUUAGGGUGGAUAUGGAGAUUGAGAGAAUUACCAUUAGCGGUACAAACACACGCAUCCAUGAAUGUUUAAAUUUGAAAAAUGAAUAUUUAAUAAGCAUAUUAAAGCUUAAAUUUAUAUAAUUAAUCUCUUUUCUUCAAUCUAUCAAUUUAAAUAACCAAUAAGGUUUUUUUUUUAUUAGACAUGCAAUACAUGUGCAUAUACUCAAUUUUAACUGAUUUUUAUUUUUUUUCAUAAAAAUGGUUUAAAAAGAUUGCAAUUUCAAAAUUAUAUUUUAAGAAAAUGGAAAGAAAAAAAUUAAAAAUAGAUUUAGCCCAAAGAUAUAAAUUAUUAGUAGAUUUAUUAUUGUUUUUUAUUGUUUAAAGAUAAGAGGUGGAGUGACAGGUUGCCACGUAGCACGUCAUAGUGAAAUAAAAGUAAAAGCUUACGAUGUUGUGGCGGCGAUGUAAUUGUUUGACAGCUAAAAAAUAGAAGAGCAAGAACCUUUCUGAUUUCCAAACCCCAAAUAAUACAUAUAAAUUUAGAGGCAUAGGGAACCCUCUCGAUGCGUGACUGAUUGUUGGUUAUCUCAAUAUUCCAAUUCCCAGACCUCUUAUCCACCGACGCUGCCGCCGCCGCUGCCGCCACCACCACCGCCAGCAUGGUCAGUUUAUCUCUUCCUCGCCAGCGUCGCUCACAGAAUCCGACUCCUUUUUAUCACUAUUGCUCACUAAUUUAUACUGUUUUGUAGACUAGUAGAGGAGGAGGAGUUCCCGGAGGAGUAGGCAGAGACCGAUUUCGAAGAGAAUUUACCUCUUCUCGAUUCGAAUCGAGUAAUAGUAACGGUAAGAGAGGGAAUAACCCGCCGUCGAGGCAUCUAUGGGUGGGGAAUUUAUCUCACAGUAUAGAAGAGACCGAUUUGACAGAUGAAUUCCUGCAAUUCGGAGACCUGGAUAGCGUUGCAUUUCAGCCGGGACGCAGCUAUGCUUUUGUUAAUUUUAACAAGGAAGAAGAUGCGAUUGCGGCCAUCAAGUCUCUCCAGGGUUAUCCUCUCGCCGGCAACCCUCUUAGGAUUGAGUUUGCUAAGGCGGUUAGUUUUUGCCACUUUUGUUCUCCUUUUUAUUUUCUAGAUUUCAGAUUCCUUGGAAUUCUGCUCUGCUUUUGUAUUUGUGCUAAGUGGGUUGUUUUCAUGCUCUAAUUAAGAAGGACUAAACUCCUCCUCCAGAUUAAUUAGUUUUCACCAUCCAAACAAAGCUGAGUUUAAAUUAGAUUAGGUGUAAGUAAGGCUUGAAUUGCUUCAAGAUCACUAUUAAAAUUGAUGGGCAAAGGCUUAGGAUUUUGUAGUUUUUCUUUAAAAAAAGAAGAAGAAGAAGAAGAAAAAUUCAUGGCUGAAAGAAAGAUUUGAUAAAUAAGGUGAAAAAAUUCUCCAAACAGAGAGAGAGGUAGUACUAUAAGACAAACAAUCAGGAAGGAACCACCAGGCACAAUUACAAACAAAGAAUGUUCGACUUUGCACAUUUCUCUGCAGCUUUCCAUCACUAGCAGAUAAGGUUCCAUUCCAAUUUUCAUUCCCCAUUGUUGUGGCUUGAAGUGGGAUCCUGUAUUCAAUUAAAGCACAAACACAUAGUCUAUUGAUCAUCGCACUUCUGAUAAUUGGUAUCCAUAAAUUGUUAUAUUAAUUAAUUCAACGACUUAUCAUAACACAUGGCUAAUGAGUUUCAUGUCAGUUAAAAAGAGUCUUUGCUUUUCCAAUCCAACAGUUUCACUUGCUUAUCUUGAGUUGAAAGUAUACCAUCCUAGAAGAUCAUUGAGCUCGUUUUUCAUUUGGCAUCAGGGGAUCUUCCACACUGUUAGUUAUCAACUAUAAAACCAGCUUUGUAGCUUUUCACCUGCACAUGAGGGUCUUUGCAGAUAUAGCAAACCUUUAGUCCAAGCUGACAGCCAUCCAAUUUUGAGUUCUGUGCUUGCUGGAUCUGGUAAUAUGAACAUGAUAUUCGGAGACCAGUCUUCUUAAAAUACCUUUAUUAAUGCUUCAGGGAGGAUGAUGAAGUUAAAAUUUCUGAAAUUGGGAUUAAGAACAUAUGAAUUCGGUGAUUCGAUAACAAUUAAUGGUUGUUCACUCAAUCCUCCAAGUUCAUUCCUCUCCUUCUCUCCAGAUGUCUAUUACAGCAGCUAGAACAGGCUGAACAGCAACAAUCAAAAGGAAAAAUUUAUCUAAUGGCCUUGCCAAAUACUUGAAAAUAAGAUAACAUGAGGGAAGCAGAAUCUAUGAAACAGUCACAUUGUCUUGCACCAAUACAUGGGGAUGUCUCAUGGAUUUAUCCCAGUUUGCAAUCUUCAUGCACGGCCUUCAUAAGACUGGUUUUUAGGUGGUAAGAUAACAGAUAAUAAUUAUAAAAAAAAAUCUCACAUGGGGCAUUCAAAUCCACAUCAAUUAAUAACAGUCAUGCUCUGUGCAACUCUGUGGCAACUUUUCGACCUGUAUUGAGAACAAUCUGUGUGAGUCUACACAACGCAGUGGAGUUUGCUUUGUUUAAAAUGCCCAGACUCAAGGGGUUGCAUGUUUCAUGAUUUUGGUAAAGUGACAAACUGCGAACCAUUUCUCUCCAUGCCUCAUUUAACCGAGUAAAAUUCGAUUCCCAGGGUAGCCCAACAGCAAUUAUGAUGUGAUAUUUACCAAAAGCCUAGCAGAACAUUAUAGCGGGUAGCUGUAAUCUCUUUCCCCGCUUAUUUGUCUGCUCGCAUUACUCAUCCUCGUAGCAGUUAACUUCUUGUGAGUAAAAAAAAGAAUUGAGUAUACCAAAUUUUUUGUCCAGGAGCUUAGUCUUUCAAUAACUGGUUAGCUUCUUCCCUAAAUCAAUUACGUAUCUGAUGUUUAUGAAAAUUGGUUUUGCUUGUCAAUCAUCCGAGACCCAUCUCCUGAUGCUAGAAUUCUUUUGAUCAGAUUACGUUUUCUGGGAUAGAUGGGUGUCUUUGGAUCUCAUGAAGGUUAAUUAUGGACGAGUAUAUUGUUCUCAUUUCUUUCUCUUUACUUUUUCCGAUGAUGCAUUUACCAAUGCUGUGCUUGAUGAUUAAUUCAUGAAAGCUUAGUUGCUUUAAACCUAUCAAUUUACUUUUUAUUGAAUUCCAACUGGAAAUUAAAAUAACAUGACUAGUUAAAGAAAGGACUGGUUCCAACACAUCUUGAUGAGAUUCUUAUCUCAGGACAAGUCAUCAACACCAUCACAUGAUGAAGAUUACUUGCAACGGCGAGAUGAACAACGCCUUACAUUAAGGGGAUCCCCUUUCUUGCAGAGGGACUCUAGAGUGCGUAAUGCUAGCCCCGAAACUUUUUACCCUGAUAAAUCCAAGAUGAGCGAUAAUAGUGCAGAACCUAGUGAGGUAUUAUGGAUAGGUUUUCCAGCUUUACUAAAGGUGGAUGAAAUGAUCUUACGGAAGGCUUUUUCACCAUUUGGUGAGAUUGAAAAGAUCACUGUAUUUCCAGGUCGUAGUUAUGCUUUUGUGAGGUUCACAAAUCUAACAUCAGCUUGCAGGGCAAAAGAAACUCUUCAGGGGAAAUUAUUUGGCAACCCUCGUGUGCAUAUUUGUUUUGCCAAGAAUGAAGCUGGGUCUUCAAAUAGUGGAAGGACCCCGCUUUCUCCGCAUUACAAGCCAAACAGUCGCCAAGGAGGCCCUGAGAACUUCUGGCAGGAUAGGAAUUUUGGGAGCACAGCUACAGAUCCCAGUAUUAGAUCUCCUCGUUUCAACUCAGAUUUGGAUCCUGCGGAUUCUGAUGUCUAUGGCCUUAACAGGAAGGGAACCUUGCACCAGGUUGGAAACGGUGCAUUUGAUAACUGGAGGUUUGGAGAAGAACUAGGACCACCACCAGAUGUGUAUGAACGACAUGGUAGUCCUACAAGAGGGAGGGAUGCCCACUUCCAUGAAUUUGCUAAAAAAAAUCCUCAGAAAGGUCCCUUUUAUGAAGAACCAUGGGAUUUACCAGAAGAUUCCUAUCUGUAUCAUGAAGCCAAGAAGUUGAAGACAGGCUCCUUUCCUCCUGACAAGGAACUUCCAGAGUAUCCUUACUCUGAUUUAGAACAGGAAAGAAGGGCUUUCCCUAGGGCAUUUUCUGAUUUUCCCCAACCAGAGGCAUUUGAUAAGAACCUGGAAGCUGGACCUUUUGGAUACACACCAAUCCAAGACCGGCCAAUCAAUUUAUCACUUCCUCAUGGAGAAAGGAGUGACCCCUGGAAGGUAUCUUAUGACAAUUUCCAGGCUGGCUCUGGUUCUCUGCCCACAAAUCGCACUGAGAGGAAAAGAUUCACCCCUGAACCAGAACCAUCCUCUUUGAAGUUAUGGAAAUGGGAAGGGACUAUAGCAAAGGGAGGGACUCCUGUCUGUCAUGCUCGCUGCUUUCCCGUGGGAAAAGCGCUAGACUUUAUGUUGUAAGUAGUAAAUAACCCUUCUCUUCAAGCUUUCACUUAUGCACAGAUUAGCUUUGAUAUCAGCCAAGUGGCUACUUCAUUCUUGCCCACUUGUUCUAUUUGUAGUGAUUAUGAUGCAAAUUACAAUGCAUCUUUAAGUCUUGAAAUCCUCUGCCCUUGUAUCAUAAUUUUCAGUUAUUGAUCUGUGAGCCCACAGUAAAAAAAUCAACAUGUUUUUUUCUACCCAACCAGAUUUGGUUCAACUACUGUAAUGUCUGCUACUAGGCAGAUUUUGAAACUUUCGAGGCAGAAUUUUUCCUGAUAUCAAAUUAUUUUCAUGGAUAUCAUCUGACUAUGAACUUAAUCUGAUGGUGCAAUUCGUCAUAUUGAUGUUUCAAUAUAUUUGUUACAUGACUCUUUUCAAAACUUUAUGUAAAGAUAACAUAUCUCCAAGAGAUGUUCUAAAACCGUACACGUGCAGUUUUUGUGGGGACACAAAAUGCACUUUUGUGAUAAUUGACAAUUUCAUCGUGUAGCUCAGCUAUUUUUCCACCUGCUCAGUGAACUUGUGUUCUGAUUUACUGUGUAACAUUGACAUUGAUUCUGCAGGCCUGAUUUCCUGGAUUGCACUGCAAGAACUGGUCUAGACAUGCUUGCAAAACACUACUAUCAAGCAGCUUCUGCUUGGGUUGUAUUCUUUGUCCCUGCUAGUGAUGCAGAUAUGGGAUACUACAAUGAACUCAUGCACUAUCUGGAGGAGAAGCAGCGUGCAGCAGUUGCUAAAUUGGAUGAUAAGACCACCUUGUUUCUUGUACCUCCAUCUGAUUUCUCAGAGAAAGUACUGAGAGUACCUGGCAAAUUGAGCAUAUCUGGUGUUAUUUUGAGGUUAGAGAAUUCUGGUUCAAAUCUUGGGCCUGUUCACCAUCCAAAUGAAAAAAGGGAUAUGAAUAUACUGCCAUUUCACAGGGAUCCAUCGUAUCCAAAGCCACCAACACAUUCAGGUCAGUUUCCUGCAAUGGUGUCUUUUUCAGAUUUGAGUAGAUCAGGAGGUGAUCCAGCUUUCCUAGGGAAUGUGGCUUCAACAGCUCCACCUGUGGCAUUUUCGGGUCCGGCCCAUCCUGCUGGAAGUAUAUCUGAUUCCUACAAUGAGAGUAGGCAUCAUUAUCCUCUCCAACAGCAGAACUCCACAUUGAGGCCCAACUGGUCUCCUCACCAUUCCCAGAGCAUUGUUUCUGGUAAUAGAAAUGUACCAUCACAAGCAUCCAAUACUGCUGUUGAUCCUGUUAUUCCAGAGCAUCACUCAGUCCUGCCAAGGACAGUGCAAGAAAAUGGCCCUGCACAUUUUGCAAGUGGAAUGUCAACCAAUCCAGUGUCUGGAAACAGCAAGUCGACCUUUCAGGAAACCAAGCCUUCUGUUCCAGUGUCUUUGCCUAUUGCAGGUUUGCAACCACAACAACUUGCACAAUUAGCAUCAUCGCUUCUAGGGCAGCAGAGGCUAUUGGGUAAUAAUUCAAAUGGAUCUGCUAGUGAGGAUUUUAAGCGGACAGUGAAUCAGUCUGGCAACCAAGUUGGAAUAGCACAGGCACUUGGUUUGCACAAAAAUCAAGUGGGCUCUGAGAUGCUGACAUCUCAGUUUAGUCAAUUACAACAGAUGCAACAGCAGCAGGUAUCAAAUGUGCCUACUUCAGUGCCACCCCCAGUUAGAAAAGAGCUUCAGCCAGGGGCUCAGGGUAAUCCACGGAUGGAAAGUGCUGGCACACAAGAGGAAGCAGAUGGAGAUCCUCAAAAGCGUCUGCAAGCAACAUUACAGCUCGCAGCAGCUCUUCUUCAGCAAAUACAACAAGGGAAAGGAACUUGAGUGGUGCCUGAUUAUGUUGAUUCCUUCACUACCACGUGAGUGAAGUAGGUAAAAUAGCUUUUCUUCAGAUGAUGCUACAGAAUGUCUCAGUAGUAGCACUAUUAACCAAAAAAGUAUUGCUGCAAUUGAGUAAUGCCAGUGCUGUAUUCUGCUAUAUUUUGUGUGGCGAUGAUAUGCUGCUUUAUGUCUCCUUUCUUUGUUGACUUGAUCGGAAGAGUGAGGACUUGUAGCUGCAUCAGGGCUCCAGGAAAUACCAAGCUCUUAUGCAGGUCCAUUAAAACUAGAUCCAUGAUUCAUCUUUAGUCCUUUUUUUUUUCUCCCUCCAGUUGAAUAGAACUAUAUUAGAUCUCUGCAUCUGGUUUGGAAUAUAUCAUUGCACAGCUAAUCUAUUCUAAACUUCAAGUGGAAAAUUUCAAGUAAUUCCACUGAUGUUUGUUGCUUAGUCGUGCAAAAAUGCUGUGGAAGAAAUUAGUUUCGGCAAAAAUGCUCUUUGUUAAGCAGGCUAUGUAAUGAAAGCCUUGGAAGAGCUGGUUAAUGGACAUGCUUCUCGCUUUUUAAGCCCUUUAAUCUUGUGGAGUUCUUUCAAUUUUGGUACUUGAAGGCUGGUCGGAGAGCUGCAGCUCCGCCAAAGAUUUAUUAUGGUGUGUGGUUAAGUUUCCCUCAAUUUGAUUAAUUAAUUACCAAUGUACAAUAAUUAGUGUUAGAUUCAGUGUUGUACUGAUGACUAUAAGAGUAAUGGUGUCCUCAAUUUGAGGAUUAAAAGUAAAUGAUGCCUGCUGUUUUUAUCAAAUUAUAUGUUGCAGCAAACUGGUGUGCGAUCUGUGGAGACUGAGGCUGAUCAUGUAAAAUCGAGUUUAAAAGUAAAUGUCCAUGGCACAUAACAUAAGAAAAUAGUGAAAUUUCAAUGAUAAAGAGGCAGGCGAGUUACAAAACUUGAUAAAAAAAAAAAUAUCAAAAAAAUCUUUUGCGAGUUUUCGGAAAUAACUCAAGGUAGUGUAGUGUGAUAAAUAUGUAACUUGGAUAAUAAAGAGUGAGUUAAUUCAGGUUAAUUUCAAAAUUUAUUAUUGAAGUUACGAGAUUCGAAUAAUUUGAUAGAAAAUAAAUUAAAAAAAAAUCACAAAAUUAAUUUUUUUUAAAUAAUAUCAAACGAUGAAAUCAUAAAAGAAAAUAUGCAAAAAAAAGGACGUCUAUCCGCAUUAACUUUUCAAGCUCAUGAUCUAGGUUAUUAGACCAGAAACACCAAACAUGAAAAAACCAUAAAAUCUAAUUCUUAACCAAUCAAAUAUUGAAAGAUAAAAUCGAAAAAAUAAAUAAAUUAUGCAAAAGGAUCUAAAAAAAAUAGCAAUUAAAAGAAUGAGAGUUAAAAUUGAAAUAAAAAAUAAUUUAGGCAAAAAUAAUUUUUUUAAUGGAGGGUUAAAUUAAAAAAAGAACAAUAAAAAUCAAAAGAAUGAUGACCAAAUAAAAAAAAUAAUUCAGCAUAAACUUGGAUUGAAUGAUGAAAUCGAAAACCAUCAAAACUUUUUACAAAAAACUCAAGAAAAAAAUUAAAAAUUAAAAGAAGAAGGAUGAAAUUGAAAUAUAUAUGAUAAAUUAGAAUUGAAGGAUUAAAUUGAAAAUAAAUAAAACUUUAACAAAAAGACCAAAGAAAAAAAAUUAGAAAUCAAAAAAAUAAGUACUAAAGUUGAAAUAUCAAGAUCAAAGAGGACAAACUGUCCAGUCGCUAUUGACGCCACACCAGUAGAGAGAAAAAAGGAAGAAAAAGGUCAAUCGACGACAAACCACCUCGUUGCCACCGACGUUGCACUGAGAGAAAGGGACAUAGUGGCGCAUCUAACGACAUAACAAAAGGCUAUUUUCUUCCACCAGGAGGCGUCACACUCUUCACUCAAAAUGCGUGAGUGCCUCCCACACGCUGGCGUGUGCCCUACACGUACCAACAAUUUUUUUAAAUUAAUUAAUUUUUAAUUGAUGCUAAAAGAUAAAAAUAUAUUUAAUUACUCCGGUAAUUACAAAAUAAAAUUCUAAAAGAAAAGACCAAAACAUCCCAAAACCUAAGUUUUAAUUUUCUUAUCCCAAGGGCAUACUUGUCAAUUUAUUGUACGUGAUUAAUUUAUUGUACAUGAUUAAUGAAAAGAUAUUUAUACUCUUUUUUUCUAGUUUCAUAAAAAAAAAAUUAUUCUAGAGCAAUGGGAUCAUUUUAUUAUGCUUAAAAAGAUGAAAAAUACAAACAAUUCUUUAAUAACUAAUAUCUCAUGUGAAAAAUAAAUACAUUUUUGACACAAAGUCAAUUGAUUUUAAAAAAAAAAAGAGUAAAAUAUCAUUUUGUUGUUAUAUUAUAAUGAAUAAUAUAUUGAGUCUAAGAGUAUAAUGUUUUUACCUUUCAUCAUUCAAAAUUAAUUGCUGCAACUUACAUCCUGGUUCAAGUCUUCAUCGAUCAGGUGGAUUUAUAUGCUCGGGUUGAGACGAGGUGAUAUUUUUCAUUUUAAGUUGUCGGUUGUCCAUGUUCUGACAACCAAAAAGACUGAUCUUUAUAUCAAUAGACUUUAUUUGUCUGAAGUAAUUUUAUUUGUCUAAAAACCAAAUAUUCUAAUAAAAAACCCAAGUAAAAAAUAGAGAGAGUUGGUAAGAUAAAAAGAUUUUAGAUAGAGAGAUAUCUUAUCCCCGAGUAUUUUUUACAUUUGUUCUUAUUGCUUUUUUAUAUUUAUUAAGUAAAGAACACGAAACAAAAGAGUUAUAUUUUUUUGUAGGAAAAAAAAUUAGAAAAGAAGAAAUUAUACUAAUAAAUUAUUUUGUUUCAAAAGAGUUUAUAUUACUACUCUUCUUACAAAAAAAUAAAUUAAUUACCAUAUAAUUAAAUAAAAAAUAUUAAAAGGUUCCAUCUUUAUUUACUUUAUCUCUUAAUUUUUGUUUUUAAUUAGUAUUAACAAUAUUUUUUAACAUUUAUUAAUUUAUACAUAUCAUUCUUAAUUUGUUUUAUUAAACAAACUCAUCAAACUUCCAGUUAAAUAUAUAUAUUUAUUAAACAAAGUCAUCAAACUUCCAGUUAAAUAUAUAUAAAAAAACAUUGAUUUUAAAAAUUGUGUUGACAACCCCUGCAUUUUUUUAUUUUUUAUUUUUGUGUUAAAAAAAUCUCAUCCAACCCUUAGCUAAGCAUAGUUCAACUAACUAGUGAGUGCAUCCUAAAUUAACAAUUAUUGUUAGUUGCAAAAUUUCAGUGAUUUGCACGGAUCAAUUGCUUCUUUCUGUUAAUUGCUAUAUAUAUAUAUAAAAAGGUAUAAAAGUAUCCAACAAAACACACAGAUAGCAAUCCCACUUUUCACUACAUCCACUACUUCUGGUUUGGCCCUGCAGUGGAAGGGAGGGGGAGAGGGAAAAAAACAAAUGAAAAGCAUGGACGUGAGGAAUUCUAUUGCCUUUAUUCUAUCAAGUAAAAAAGAAACACAACCUAUUUGGGGAUAUAGCUCAAGUUACUAACGAACAAAAGAAUAUGCACUUGCAUGCCGACUAGUGUGGUCUCUGUAUAGUUUAAGGUAAACCACAGUACUUGAAUAUAAGAUCACCAAAAAAACUGACAUUGAAAGGUUUGUUGCCCUGCUGCUGCUGCUGUACAGAUGUUUCAACCGCUAAACAUAGAAGUAGGUAGAUGUCUCUGUUGCGUUCGCCGUGUUGCAAAGAAUAGAUCGAGCUUCAAUUACAGAGCGAGGGGGCUCUAGAUCCUUCUCUUGAAGUGAGUUUCCUAGCAGUCGCUGCAUUUGCGAAGCAAAUGUGUCAUCCAGUAUCUGCAAAAGAAAACCAUGAAGAAACUAGCAUGUGAGAUGGUCAGAAUUGACAAAUCAUGAAAUGCCCAGAUAUGAACUCCAAGACCUACCCCAAGUGCAUAGCAGGAACCAUUAUACCACACUUUGUUCUCCUUCCUGCUCUCAAGAAACUUCAAAACGAUCUAGAACAUUACACAGUUAAAGCAUCAGGAUAACAGAUAGAAAUAAAAUAACCCCGGUGAAGUGCGGAAUUUAGAUAAAAAUGUUACUCUACCUCUCCCAUCCUAUCCCAGAAUCCACGACAUGUUGCGACAAAUAUCCGGCUAGCAAAAACAUCAUGCAAAUUGGAUAUACAAUCAAUGAGCUGUGAACUUAGAAUCUGCAUUCUUUCACGGACCUCAGCCUCUCCAUCUUCUUCCCUUAUGUCCUCCAAAAUUCUUUUUAGUCGUGUGCUUCGACUAGCUUGCACCUGGAAGAAUUGUGAUUUCAUUCAUGUUACAGUUUCUCUUUUUGCAUUCUAAAAACACCAACCACGGCAAGAGGAAGAAGGAUCCGUUAAGAUGAUUAACCAAGUAAAAUUAUCAUCAACUAGUAGUAUAGGAUGAGCAUGCAAAAUUCCAUAGUAUUCAGGAAUGCAAGUAAUACACAACAUAUCCUCAAAUGCAAUGUUACCUAAUGAUCAGGCACAGAAUCAAUCCCUUGAUAGCAAAUUGACUAUUGAAUAAAUGACCAGCAUUACUGAUCAUCUCAAGGAAAUUAGAUUUUUAGAUUUACAACUACCACUGAUACAAUGGAACUCAGAUAAUGGAUAGAAGCUUACAUUGUUAACGAGCUUCUCCACUGUUGCCUGCAAGUAAUUUUUGUGUUUUGUUCUCAACAGAACAGUAAUUCCAUUCAUCUGCUCCCCGCAAAUUGACUUUUUAUCUCCCACGAGAGGUAGAUAGGAAGCCCAGGACUUAAAAAUGUCCUCCACUCUACAAUGUAAGACAUCAAGGAUUCUCUUGAUUGUAUUCAGAAAAAUUCCCAACUGCCACAAGAAAAUAUUGGUGAGUUGUAAAUGGACACAAUGGAGUGCAAAACAUCUGUGUUUGUGUGUGGGAUGUUCAUGUUUGCACCACUCACUUGAUUAGGUACAGAAUAAAGUGUUGUUGAUUGUCUUCUUGUCAGCUUUUGGACAUGCAUAUUAAGCCUCUUUGGAAUGCUAUCUUUCAAAGGAGUCAAGAUGUCAUUGUAUUGCUUCUCCAAAGCUUUAACUAUUGCUCUUUCCACAUCAGCAACAGCCUUUGACAAGAUUGAGAAUAAAAAAUGAAAAUUAGCUGUGACACAAAAAUUAGUAUACAAGCGCAAAAAAACAUCCAUAUAUUGGUUUCCAGACAUGCCUAAGUGAGCACAUGUGGAGAAGAGGAAGAACAAGUACUAAAGGCUUCUCUCUAGUAACUUGCUAAAUCUUGCAAAAGAUAGUCAAUACUUACAUUUUCCAAAAUCAAGGAGUACCGAGGCCAUCGGUUGAUCACCACUUCGUACUCAAUAAGUGCAUCUUUGAUUCUCUCAUACAUUUCUUCAGCAAAUGGAGAAGUGGAAUGAUUCGUCAUUACUCCAGCCCAUGGCACCUGCAAGAGGUAGUUAAUGGUUAGAGCAUUGAAAGAAAAUCCUCAUUUUCAAUUGAAAGUACAACUGGUUUUACUUUUGUUUCAUGUGUGUGUGUUGGGGGCAAAGGGAUGAGAACGGGAGGGAUUAUGUUCUAUGAACAAACAUAGGACAAUUGCUUUGAACUUGAAUUUGGAGACCACCCUCGCUUCCACAAUUUUUCACAUGAAGGAAGAGGAAGUAUGACAGGUACCUUUUCUGCUUUGCAAAGUUCAAGCAAGUUAAUUUGCAUAUCCUGCACCCAGACCAUUAUGUAACUAUGAAACAAUCCCCUCGAAUCUACGCCACCUUGCACUGGACUGAAACAAACAAAAUAUAAAAUAUGAGAGAGCUUCAACUUCUACAUCUACAGUGGGUUGUAAAUUAUUUUGAUACCAUGUUCGGACUACAUUAUUAAUGACACUUCAUCUUCAAUUUUCUUUGUGGGAACAUAUUAAAACUCGUUCUACUUGAAACCAAAACAUAUUUUGUAUUUUUUUCUAUCACUAACCUGAUAUUCCAUAACUCAAGAUCCCGUUCAAAAUCAGCAAUUGCUAUCAGUAGUUCAUUUACAUGUGGUUGCGGGCUAGAUGGAGGACAUGCAGAGAGAAAAAUUCUAAGCCUGUUACACAACUCAGUGCUAUAAACUGCAGCAGCGAUGUUUGACAAGUCGAUUGAACUGAAAAUAGAGAAAUGUGUUAAGAUAAGCAUAAAAUGAUCAAUUAAGAAGUUCAUUGCAUGCAAUAUUUGCUCAAUACUUUGCCUACAACUAACUUGAGAAUGAAAGUCACAAUGACUAGGGAAGAAAGUUUCGAAUUUGUCGCGAGUGAAGAAAGAACGAUAUAAAAAUCUCUAGUUUGGUGAAACUAAUCUCGAGCAAAAGGGAGCAAAUUGUCUUUUGUAAGGUUUAAGGGUUAGGGUUUUCAUAGAAGCAAAAUACGUAAUGCUCAUUAGUUAAAACUUCAACUUAAGAUCAUUUUGGGUCAUAUCAGCUAAUGAGGGGAUAUAAUAUUCACGUAAGAAAGAAAGAUACCAAUACCUUGGGAGUAGAUGCUGGUUGUGGAUCCUGAUGUCUGCCUGAAUUUCCUUCCCAAUAUUCAGACACAAAUUUUUCAUUUUUAAAUAGGCUGUGGAGAUAGUUAUAGAGUCUAAGAGGAAGCCUUCAGAGUUGCCAGAAACAAACUCAUCAGUCUCUACCAUGUGUUUUCGACAUCUCUUCUUCGCUGCUGUCUGUAAAAAAUAUUUAUUCAAUUUAGAGUUGUAUCGUGCUAAUAUGUUAUAUGUUGCGAAAAUAGGAUGAAUAGACUUCUAGUUCCAACACAUGAUUUCAAAGCACAAAUGCAGUCAGUGGACGAAAAUCAGUGCGAAUUUGGGUACCAUAAGACCCUUUCUUAGCUGAUCUCUAACAUUCAUGUAACUCAAAUGUGAGAGUGUUUUUGUAUGAGGACAUUUACUCGAUUUUUGUAUGAGAACAUUUCAUGUAACUUUUGUGAGAAGGUCUAAUUGAAGACUUGGAAGAUUAAGAGGUUGAAGAUUGCACAAUAAACAUCCCUAUGCUUGUUAGGUUCAUUGAGAACAUUGAUGUCAACUUUAAUUUACCUGCAAAUAGUUCCUCAGCAUAGUCUGCGCAUCUUGAGAUAGUAUGUCAUGGAGUAGGGUGUAGACUUUAACAGCUUCACCUAGAGCUGGUGCUGCAGACUCUUGCAUCGGGUUGAACAGGUCUGCCAACCCUGUGGGUGAGUUUUCAUCCAGUGAUUUGUAGUUCUCAAAAACUUGUGCCAAGAGACUCUCAAUUCGUGUUUCGCAAUCUAAAAAUAUACUUUUCUGCAGUAAUACAAUGAGGACAGUAAGAGGCAUUUCUUUGGUGCACUGGGACAAUUUAUAAAGCAUAGAAUAAAAGGUGAAUUUCAGAUAAGAUGGUAGCACCCAUGCCAUGCUCUUCCUAUCAUUGGAAGCCAUGCAAGCCAAUUUCUAGAAAACAUUAACACAACAAUAGCAAAAACAAAUAACAAGAUGUCAACUAGCUUGGUUGGCAAUGGAUAUAUAUAUAAAAAGAAAAACCUCAACAACCAUCCAAAAACUGAUGACCGAGCAUAACAUUCAGAUUCUUACUAAAUUCUUUUCAUAGCAUCUUCAUAUUUAUGUAUCAUUCAUGUCAAGUGUUUUCUUUCUUCAUUGUUCAAACAGUUACCUAAAAAGUUAAAAGAAAUAGAAGUGUUGCAGGGUGUCUACUACAAUCACAAACACAAAAGGAUGAUCUCGCCAAAUUCAUGGACUGGUCAUGGUAGAGCCAACCUUCAGCAAGGGAAAUCCUCUGUGAACUUGCUUCUUCCAUGUCCCAAACAAACCAUAAUUGGAGUGGCACAAUCCAUUCUCAUCAGUAAGAGAACCACAAAAGCUUUUUUGCCUAAUUAUCCUUGCCAAAAUAUAAGGCCUGUUUAAACUAUUUGAGAGUUUAGCUUCGUUAACUUGGUUUCCAAUUACUAUUUCAGCUUUUGCUUCUAUUCAUUUUGUCACUAACAGUGAAAAUUAAAUACAAAUUCUACUAGCAUAUAAAUUAUCUUCUGUGAAUUUGCUUCUUCCAUGUUCCAAACAAACCAUAACUGGAGUGGCAAAAUCCUUUCUUAUCAGUAAGAGAACCACGAAAAGCUUUUUUGCCUAAUAUACUUGCCAAAAUAUAAGGCCUAUUUAAACUAUUUGAGAGUUUAGCUUCGUUAACUUGCAUCAAAUUGAUAUUUCAGCUUUUUUCUAUUCAUUUUGUCACUGACGAUGAAAAUUAAAUAUAAAUUAUACUUUUAUAGCAUAAAAAGGAGAGGGGGGGGGGCAUUAGGUUUCAUCCAAAUUAGCAUCAAAAGCAAAGUUCCCUGAAUUCGGUGUGUUGAGUGCUAGCUACUUAAAUAGGUUAUUUUUCAUUUUCUGGUUUGAUUUUGAAGUUAAUAGAACGCUUGGAUAUGCAUUCAAGAGAUUAUUUGUAAGUAGUGUAUGUAAUCUCAGCAAUUAUUAGGAGCCUACCUCUUGCACGGUUAAACUCUUCUCACUCCUAGCCUUCAUAAUGGGUACAAGUAACUCAUUGACAAGCUCCAAGCAGUCUUUCUUUGGAAGGGCCACAUCCAUGACCCGUGAAAGAUAUCUAGAAAGAAAUUUAGACAAGUUAAGAUAUGGAAGGAAAUAGAAAGAUAAAGGUAAAAAUGAACAACUAGACCCACUGAGAUAUUCAAUAAAUUUGCAGUUAUAAGCACCUCAAUUUUGUAUAUGAAUCAGAAACUCCAUAAUAAUCUGCAAAUUCAAUCAACAGCCACUUCCAAGAUCCAUGUAAUCUCAAAUUUCGAGAAUGAAAAAGCUGUGCGUGCAUAGCAGCCUCCAGUAGUAGAUCAUAAGCUAUUGUUUCCACAACAGGACCACUCUGUAUAUUAUUAACAGCACAAAAAAAUGAAAUUAUGGAAGUAAAACAUGGCAAGCACUGCAUCAUGGAAGCACCUUGUAUAAUAGUAAUAAGCACACACUUGUAGACCACAUGAAAGCACUUGACAAUGCAUGCACACUGCAAAUGAUAUGCAAGAAGACAGCCUGCACAAGCACUCAUUUACAUUCACAUGCUCGUAAUUCUAGCACUUGAACAUUGAAUUUAUACUAAAAAUGGAAAAGACAAAACAGCAUAAUUGCUACCACAAAAUUAUUCCAAAAGAAGGCAUAAAGAUAAACAGGUAUUAUCUAUUCGGCUAAUUUGAGUUGAAAGAACUGAAACCUUAAUAUUAUUAGUCUCAUCCUGUGUAAUAGUACUGCCAAUGAAGAGUUGUAUCUUCCCAACACAUUCUUGAUCUUCAUGGUAUAAGGGCCACCAUCGAAUUCUAUCACUCUGCAUAAUUUGAAUAAUCACAUCAUCUAAAGUAAUUAUUUAUACUUACAAGUACCUCAUGCUGGAAGAUACAGGAAAAAGGUACAUACAGGAUUAUCAUUGAAAGAUGAAAUAGCAAUUGUAGCUCGGCCUUGGAGUGACUUUUUUGUAUCUUGUACCUCUACCAAAAGUGCUUCCCCUUCACUUUCUGGAAAACUGAAUUACGUAAACAUGUGAGAUUUUCCCAUUCCAUGUAGAACAAUUAUACCGGAAAUUAUACAGUCCUUUGUUUUGUGAGGGUGAUCAGUGGUUUUACUUUGUCAACCAUAUGAUUUUCAUAAGUAUAAAAUUGAUAGAUGAACAGAAAUGAAAAUCUUUUGGGCCAUCUAUCAUAUUACAAGGUACAUUAAUGGCCCAAUCUGCUAGCCUUUCAAUUGAGACUGAGCUGUCUACAAUUUUUACCAUCUCAUGCUAAUAUUUUUUUUGUAGUAAAAAAAAAACCUCAUAGCAGCCAACUGUAUGACAAGUUGAAAGUAAGUUCAGAACUUACAAGAUGUGGUAAUCCCCACUUCCUGGGUGUAAACAAAUAGCAGAACCUGGUUCAACUUGAGAAUUUUCAGUAGUACUCUUCAGUUGGAAUAAGCAUGUCAGUUUCUCUGCAAACCAGAAAAAAUAAUUUUAACUGUCCAUCGAAAUAGUGCAGCAGAGAAGUUUCUAAAAUUUUGCACAAUUCAAAAUGCCAAAACAAGUGGAAUCCACAUGAUUGAUGUGAUUUAAGACAACCACUUGCAGUAUCUUCUUUAGGAUAUAGACAGAAUUCAUUUACCCUAAUGAUAAUCUGAAAAUGUGAUUAAAAGUGGAUCUGUCGUUAACUUGCUACACGUAUAUGAGCAAUAGACUUUGCAGCCAUUUUAAUGAAAACACAAACCUUCUGUUGGCACUGGAAACGAAGCUAUUUUAAGAGAAUUCAUGCCAGUUUUCACUAGCGAUGAAACAUGCUGGACAUACUCUUUCCCCAUUUGCAUGUAGAUUGCACUACGCUGGGAGUAAGUGCUCAUAAGUUUCCGCCUUGGUAUUAUCCGGAGUUUCUUUACUGCCAAAGUCACCAAGUGUAAUUUAGUUGAAUUAAGAAACAAUUAAAGCUUAAUUUUGGUGGAAAACUAUUUUUUCUCAUUAUUGCAUAUCCAGUUACUCAGCAUUGGACAUCCUUUUUGUCUGUCAUGACUAAAUAAUGAAUAUCCUUGAUGUGAAUCUACAGAUGACUAAAUUAUGAAAAAAGAAUGGAACUGGGAAUUUAAAACAUGACAGCCAAAUUAACAGGAAAGAAUUAAAGAAAAGAAAUUCUAACGCUUCAUUCUAAUUAUUCGACUUCCUUGUGUAGCAAUGACACAAGAGAUCUUACCUUCAACUCUUAUCUUCCCAACAACCUUUUUUGCCUUCAAAGGGCAUGUUUGUUCUGCAAUUUUAGUUGAGUUGACUGCUACAGGUUGUAUACGGCGUGGUUGCAACAAAAAUUUGUGUAGUCUACAAUAUUAAUAGCAAAAUAAAUACCAAUCAGAGUUGCAUAUUAGCCAUAAAUUAACAAAAAAAAAUCACCAUUUUUAGCAGCUAUAUUAUAUUUUCACCGUAUAAGCAUAAGGAAUCCUACCCAAAAGCACUUCUAAGAAUCAGACACUCAUCACGCAGAAACUCAGGAGCCUCAGUGCGACCUCUAGCCCAGGCAUAUAGACAUAAGCGGAUACAUGCAUCGUAAGCAAUCAUAGUUUGCCACGCAUAUUGACCGCUGCAACAAUUAAAUUAACCAGCCAUCAGAACACACGCUGGCAAUGAUAGUUGUGUGCAUGAAAAAAGAAAAAAACCUGUUCAGAUGGAUAUCAAACAGACUCAUAAUCCAUAAAGGGCAGAAAAUGAAAAUGUUCCAGACAACAUUCAGUCAAAAAUCCAGAAUUUAAAACAAAUUCAUUUAGUUUUUAUAUUCAAAUCCUAAAGGGAUCAACCAAUAGCAAACUUAGAAAUUAAACUCCAUUAAAAUAACUAAAAUAUCACUAUAGCAUUAAUGAGUUUGAAUUUAAAUCAGAUCAUACCCCGUGUUAUAACAAGGUGAACGGUCUGAUGAACUAGUCUGCCAAUAAGGCAUCUUUCCUUCCAUUUCUCCUGUCAUAAAGCUAUUUAUUCUGCGCCAGAAGAUAAAGCAGAUUAGUAGUAAGUGACUAAUAGAACAAAGAAAUGAUAAUUAUAGAUGAAUUAUUAAAUGCCUAAUGCCACUAAUAAUUGUAAUACCUUUCAUCACAUUCGGUACUUUGCAUAGAUUGUGAUGUUUGAUCAAAUAAACCUUCCGCUGAUUCUCUUGGCUUGCCAACUCCAUACGCAAUUUGCUCAGUUUCUGUGUCAAACGUAACAUUCCCUUCUUCUCCUCCAAUUUCAAUUAUUGGAGGAGCACUUGGAGUCCCCAUCUCCUCCACCGGUCUAAAUACAUUUGCUUCAUUGCUGAAAUUAUCCUAUAAUCACAUUCACAACCAACAUUAAUCACCGGUACUAAAAAAAAAACCCGAAGAGAUCAUCAAUCAACAGCAAACACGAACCCAACAUACCAAUUGUGCAUUGCGUAGCUGAACUCUCUCUCGAAGCGAAAAACUACCACCCGGGCCCACCGAAUUCUUCUUGGGUGUUCCAGAUUUUCUAAACCCUAGAUCACCAUCAACUUGAGUGGCACUCUUAAGCCUUCUAAAGUGACCAGGCAAUUCAAUCUUCAAAUCCUCCUUCAAAACCCCUCUAUUCAACUUGGUUUUAGCAGUAGGCCUAUUUCUAGUAACCCCAAAAAUCUCCUCCUCAUCUUCAUCCUGAUAACUUUGCAUCACAGGCUUCUCCAAGUAAUCAAAAUCGGAAGGACCUAUAUCCUCAAAACCAUCCUCUUCAGUGUAGUUUCUACGACCAAUCUCGUAAUCAGAAACUGAAGCCACGCUCACAUUAUCGUCGUCUUCUUCUUUGUUCUGAAGGCACGGAGAGACUAUACUGUGAGGGGUCAGUAACCCAGAAUGGAAUUUAAGCGGAGGCAAUAAAUGGGAAGAGCUAUUGUAGAAAAAUGGAGAUUUCGGAAAUGGGUUUUCUGCUGCUGCUACUGGUGAUAGCUUCUCUGCUGAUAACGGAGAUAGCGGAGAUCGAACUUUAGGUUGAGAUUCUUCUGCAUCUGAUCCCUGCAGAUACAUGAAUUACUACUAUCAUUCUCAUUAAAUAAUAAAUUUUUGAAAAGAAAGAAAGAUCAGCAUGCAAUACCCGCUUGAUCCAGUUAAUGGCGGAUUCAUCCAGACCUUCAGUGAACAUUCUUAUUCUUUGCUUUUGAGCUUUCUGCUGCCAAGAGAAAGAAUCAACGUCUCAAAGAUAGAAUUAAUCAAAAGGAAAAAAAGAAAAGGGGGGGUAUGAAGAGAUUCAAGGGGCUGUUAUUUCCUUUUCCUAAUGAGAGGAGAGCUUAGACAAGAAGGUAAAGGAGAAGGGAAGGGAAGGGAGCGUUUUGAAAAGGCAACGGCUAGUUUGAGGCUUCCUUUUUUAUAUUUAAAAGAAAGAAAUAAAAGAAUAUACAUUUCUUUCUAUUAUAUGGUGGCGACUGCGAGUGAGUGAGUUGCCAUCCCUCAUCGGGUCCCAGAUAGAAAGGGAAUUAUACGGAAAGUGCGUUGUUGUGAAGGGUUAAAAAAGGGAAUUUAUUGCUUCGUAAAUAAAUAGGAUAUUCUGCUGCGCAGGAUAAUUUUAUUUUUUUAAAUAAUAAUUAUUUAAAAAUAUAUUAAAAUAAUUUUAAAUAAAAAAUAGUUUUUUAUAAAAUAUUAUUUGAGCCGUGUUCCUCACACUUAAGUACACCACUUAUUGCUUUGUAAAUAAAUAGGUGAUGGAAAUAUUUGAUUUUUAAGUGAAAUAUAAAAUUAAAAUAACUAUAAUUCAUAAUAAUUACCUUUACUAGGUAUAAAAAAAAAUGUAAAUUACACGGUAUCAUUAAAUAACAUUAAUCACCAAAAACAAUUAGAGAAUUGACAUAAAUACUCUUAAUUAUUAUUUAGAAACAAAAUAGUUAAAUAAAUAAAACAGAGUCGAAAUUUAAAUUAUUCAUAAAAUGAAAAUUAAUUAUUUUUUUAUCAUAUUAUUUUUUUAAUUCUUCAAGUUUUUAGUUUAAAUAUUUUUAUUAAAUAGUAAUUUGAAUGCAUUUUAAAUAAUAAUUAUUUAGGGGGUGUUUGUGAAUGUAGUAAUGGUUGUUUUUUAAAGUAUUUUUGCUUGAAAAUAUAUCAGAAUAAAGUUUUUUUAUUUUUUUAAAUUUAUUUUUGAUAUUAAUACAUCAAAAUGAUUUGAAAACAUCAAAAAAUAUUAAUUUAAAAUAAAAAAUAAAAAAAUUAAAUUUCUUUUAAAAUAUUUUUAAAAUAUAAAAAUAAACUAGAGUCAGUUUCAAUGUGGGAUUCAUUAAUGAGUUAAGCAUUAAAGAGUCAAUGUUUUGUUUUUAUUGUACUUGGUUAUUUUUUAAAGAAUUAUAUUAUUUCUUCUGAAAAGUAUUAAAUUGGUUAUUAGUUGUUGUUUUUUUAAUAAUUGAUGUAAAAAAUAAAUAAAUAAAUAAAUUUUUAAUAUAUUUUCAGUUAAAAAUUGAAUUAACCUAAAAACUCCAAUCCGACAUGAAAGGAAACCAAUUUCCCUAAAGAGAGAAAAUCUCUACAGGAUGCGAUGGAUCCAGUUCCAGAUAGCUGCUAGCAUUAAGCCAUGUCGGAAAUGAUCCUGAAAUCUAACUCUCUGCGAUAAUGACAACUGAGAUUAUUAUGAUGACUCUUUUUAGGAAAGGAAUGGAAAAGAUGAUAAGGAUUGUGGACUUCCUUGAUUUGACUGUGCUCACUUCACCCAGAGAACAAGACAGCCACAUCGAGAGAAAAGGGCUCCACGUUUCCCUUCAUGCGCCAACACAGAGUGACAGGCCAAAAGGUGAGCUUCUCAGUCACACAGCCGAGCACAAUCGCACAAUGCCACCUCGCCAGCCCUGAACUACGUACGGAACAAUCAUGGUUGCAGUGCACCCUCUCUCAAUUCAACCCAAUUACUCCAUUGUCACCCUCGCCAGGCAGGUACGUUGGGGGGGGGGGGGGGGGGGCGCAACGAGAGGAAGAAAUUCGCUCCUUCUCUUCUCCUCGGGUCUCAAUUGCCUCGGUUUCAUCUCCUUGUUGCAAAAGUCUAACUUCCGUUCUCUAAUGCAUACAAAGUGGCUGUUGUGUGCAUCUUUGGACUCUUCUAGCUUUUUAUUUAUUGAUGUUUUGCUACUGUUCCAUUUCCAUGGGCCCCACUAGAUUAGCGGUUGGGCCUACGUGUCAGCGAAUUUUGGGGUCUGCUCUCUGUAUUUCUAACCCCUGUAAGUGAGUGCAAAUGCAACAAGGAAGAUUUUGAGCUGUGAGACAGAGAGAAAUGAGUGACAAGAAAGGGGGUCAUGAUGAUGAUCGUGAGGAUACGUUUCUUGGAGGAGAAAUGGGGGGGUUUUCAAUGGAGGGCCAUCAUUUCUUGGAUGGUUUUGACAAGGAAAAUGAUGGGAGAUCAGGGUUUCUUGAAUUUGGGUAUGGGUACCCUAACCAUCAGUACUUUGAGCUCAAACUCCCACAUGAUGAUACUCAACUUGGUCACCUCAGUCCACUUGGUGACUCUGAUGAAAAUGAUGAUCCGUUUCUUGAACUCCAAGAAACUCUAGAAGCCCCAACUCCUCAUCAUGUGCCUCAAAAUGAAACUUACCACCCUGCCAUUGUUUCUUCUAACGAGGAGGUCGGUGGGGUGGUGGUGGAGAAAAAAAAGGAAGAGAACAACAAGGAGGGGCUUGAGCAGCAGGCUCCAUCCCCUCCUCCUCCACAACAACUUCAUAAUCACCUUCGCAUUAGUUUUACUUCUGAUCUUAAACCUCGUCUUAGAUGGACACGAGACCUUCAUUCAUGUUUCGUUAAUGCUGUCAAAGAGCUUGGGGGACCCCAAAGUUAGUCUAUCCCCCUCUUGAAAAAAAAAACAUCGUUAUUUGGUUUCUCUAUUUCUUAAGUUAUUAUUAUGUGUUUUAAUAGUACUUUUUCUCAGUGCAUGUUCUGAAAUAUUUAAUGAUUAUAUGAUCAUCUCUCUGCUGUUUCUUUUUUUUCUGCAUUAAUUUCCAUCUGCACGCUUCUUUUGGUAUGCUAGAGAGGCCUAGUUGUUGAUGAUUAUAAGAUCAUCUUUUUGCUUUUUCUAAAAAAAUAAAUAUAGUUACAAAAACCUCUACUCGAUUGAACAGGAUAUAUGCCUCUUUUGAUAUGCCAAGGAUGACUAGUUGUUGAUGAUUUUAUGAUUAUCUUUUUGCUCUUUCUUAAUUUUAUCUGUACUAAAAUCUCUAUUGAUCAAAUAGGAUCUUCAUCUGCAUGCAUCCUAUGAUGAGCCAAAGUUUUUUUGUUUUACUAGAAUUCAUAGUUGUUUACAUCUAGAUCUGAAGUUUGCCUGGUUGGAUCUUUUUUUAAUAACCUUCUGAAUUUUCCUUUGCAUGCGCUCCUUGAAGAAAAUCAUUUUUUUUCCUUCUUCUGUUAAAGAUUUCUUCUUUGAAAUGCUUUUUACUUCAGCGAAUUUGCCUCUCUCUCUUUAUUUUUCUUCCCUUCUGUGUGCAUCAUAUUGUGUUUUCAUCUAAAGAAAACAAUUGCAUAAAGCACUACGGUCUCUAUCUGCUAUGUGACCUUUUCUCUCAAAGAGAUGUCACUCUAAUAUAUGGAAAUUCUUCCUCAACUAUGUGGCUUUCUUAUUCUUUGUCCUCUUAGCAUGCAGGUGAUUGUCUGUGCUCUCUGUUUAUUAUCUGGUGUUCUGUUCUUAGUUUUUAUUUUUCAUCUUUAAUAUUGUGUAGAUUAGUUUAAUGCAAGCCAUUGUGAUGGAUAAUGUUGUGAUGUAUGAUUUCUUUGAAACAAGUUCAGUAUUUUGUAAUGCUCUCUUAAUGAGUUGUUUUUAUUAAUUAGUUUCACCAGAUGCGAUUAUUGAAAUAUUAUUGAGACCAAUUUGGUGCUCAAAUGAAGUUAUGAUUUACUUAUAAAUUUUUUUCUAUGUUUGGUAUUGUGAAGCAUGCAUGUCGUAGAAGUUCUGUGGAUGUGAUUUGUUAAGGUUUUCUCUUAAAGGUAGCAACACUUUUGUUCGAUUCUGUUAUCACUAUAUAUGUGAUGGAAAUCUAGCAAUCGCAUGUUCUUUUGGUGGAAGAUCUUUUUUGUAUUGGUUAAUGGAUUAUAUGUCACACUAUUGAAUCCCUACUUGGAGAUUUUGGUAUUUCUAGUGGUUCUCAUAAACUGCACUUGGGAUCAUAAUUGAUCAUUUGCCAUGCACGUAGAGCGAGCUUGUCAGUAUCGCAAAUUUGUCGACUCGGAUUUAAAUUCUAACUGAUUUUUUGUUUCUUAAUGUUUGUCGUGUUCUCGUAGUUUUGAUAAAUAGGAAACCAUGAGAAAUUUGUUGUUCAAAAUGUGUUUGGUGGACGUUUAUGCGUAUUUGUUGGUUUCGUAAAUGUUCCCUUAGUUUGAUUGGAUGAUUUUAGAGAAAAUCUGGCAAUUCAUGGCUUGCACCAAUGAGUCUUUAUUGCAAAUAGCCGUUAGCGCUCUCUUUUUUGUUUUCAUCUUUUUUCCAGUCUUCUUUGAUUUUCAGACACGUGCACGGCUUCAAUUUUUGUUUUCCUUUGGUUUUAUGUGUUUCAGCAGUUAUUUGAGCUUAUUGUUCCUAGUUUGAGUCACAUUACCAACUGAGAGUUCCUGCUGGUAUUCUUUCCCUUUUUCAUAAAUGGCUUAGGAUGCAGUAGUUUUGAUUGCACAGAUAAGAAUUUACCAUAGAAGUCCAUUAGUGCACUCCUUUCCAUUUUUACUCUAGCUAGCUUUGUGUUUCUUUUCUUUUUUUACCAUAGAAGUCCAUUACCAACUCAUGUUUUCUUUUUUUUUUUGUGUUUCUGUAUUUAGAAUUGAGCUAACUAUUACUACUUACUAGUCUCAGUCACAUGGUAAUGCAGAGUUACUAUUAUUAUUUUCAUUUUGUAAUUUUAUACUAAAUGUUGCUUAGGAUAUGUAAAGCCAUUUGUUGUGUAAUUCACUAUGUUUCCUUCUUUAGAAAUUACUGUUUCAGCUGAUAAUGCUAACUAUCAUAUUCAGCUAUAUGGUUCAAUACGUUGGUCUUAGCAUGCAUGGGAAUAUAGGUGCAAAAAGCAGGGAAAGCACAAUAGAAUCAUUUGAUAGUAAAAGAAGACAAUGUGGACUCAUCUAAACCUAGUGGCCUGGAGGGCUCAAUCCAUAUAUUCUUUGGGAUUUGGUUCCAUCAGACUGAGAUGCAGUGGGAAAAAGAUAGUAUGCUAGGAGGGACUAGGGGAGGAGGGAGGGAUAAGAAGUGAAGGAUGGGGUGUUUCCUUGGUUUGGCUAGAAGGAUAAGAACCCAAGGACGUGUUGGGAGGAUCCCUCGAUUCCUUCUUCAUUUAUAGUUUUUAAUCAUCCUAAUUUGUGUGAAUUGACUAAUAUACAUAUCACUUCAUUAUCCAAACAACUAUAUGGAUGGUAAUGAAACUGUUUGCUUAGUCUACUUGUUGGACGGUUAGGAUUCCUUGGGCGGUUUAGGUUUUACUAUAAAUACAUAUCAUGUAACCCUAUUUCGAUAUAGUGAAUAAAAGCAUGUUGCUCCUGUGGAUAUAUGCACGUUGCGGAACCACGUUAAAUAUUGUGUUCUUUCUAGUUUCUCUUCUAUUGCAAUAUUCAUUAAUAAUUGCAAAAGAUUUUUCACGACACAUAUUUUGCGCAUAAUAUGAGAUACAAUUUUAUUUUACUUAAAAUUCAUUAGUUUACCUAGAAUGUUGUAUCAUUCUCAACAAGUAAUUUACUAAAUUUAUUUCUUGUCGGGCCUGAUACUGUCUCUAGCAGGUGAAUUGUGUUGUAUUUUGUUUCAAACUUUCAAGUAUCUAACCAUAAUAGCUCACGAAAUAUUACAUCAUUUGCUUUCUUUAUUAUAUUUAUACCACUUCUUUUAGGUGUUUUAGUAGCUUAAGCAUCUCAUGCCAUGCAUGACCUGUGAAUCAUAUUUGCAGAAGCAACUCCAAGGUCUGUUCUAAAGUUGAUGGAUGUUGAGGGAUUAACCCUUUUCCAUGUCAAGAGCCACCUCCAAGUAUGUUUAUUUCAAUUGCUAGAGUUGAAUGUUAGCACUUCAAAUUGUUAACAUUUUAGAAUAAGAGUGAAAAUUUAAUUUUAUACGAGGUGUUGAUUUAUUUAUACAUGAUUAUUGCAGAAGUAUAGACAAGGCAGACAGCGAGCCACUCAGAAAUGGUGAGUCUUUCUAAACAACACCUAGUUGGGAAUCUACCUGUCAUUAUUCUUCUAUCUGAAACUUCUAUCUGAAAAUUCAAGGUCAUCAAUUUAGUAAAUUGAACACAAAUAACUUCUGUAAGAUUCAGCAACAUCCUUUUGUGCUAACAUUUUAGAAUCAUAUUAGGGUGAAAUGUUUGGUAUUUUCUCCAGUUGUUAUGUUCGAAUUAUAUUGGAAAUACAUAUUAGGGUGAAAUGUUUGGUAUUUUCUCCGGUUGUUAUGUUCGAAUUAUAUUGGAAAUUCAUUAUUCUAAGCCUUCGUUAUCCUCUAGAUAUCUCCCACGAGGGAAAAGGGAAAGUUCUGAUUUAAUGCCGGUGCUAUCGAGGGCUUGAUAGUUAAGAAAACAGAGAGAAAGAGAGAGCAUGCUUGAUCUUUCUAUGCAAAACGAAAAGCUUUCUAUAACUUUGAGUAGAGCAUGUCAUCAUGAACCUGAUAUUGUAUUCUGAAUGAAUGGAAGGUAUCUCAGCUGCUCAGGGAUCCGAAGGCCCAAGUAGCUCUAUGAACUUGCCCCCGUCGCAAACGAAGAAGUAUGAUUAAUAUUUUUGUUGUCAUUUGGGAAAACCCUUGUUCUGCUAGUAUUUGGGGUUUUAUUUUCAUUUUGCAAUCAAGCUAACAGCUCCAAAUUUGUUGUUUCCUGGUGCUUCCAUGUCAUAUAUAGUCGACCCAAAGGCAAAUCAAAGGUUAAGAAAGAAGAUCGAGGCAGCCUUUAUCUGCAGAUUCAGGCAAGCUUCUUCUCCUUGUUUAAGAAUUAUUCUCUUUAUUCUUUAAGUUGAAAGGAUCUCACUGUUCAUUAUUGAUAUUCAGUUCUAAGCAUUACACAUGUGUUUGAUAGCCUCUACAUUCGGAAUGUUACAUGGACAACUUGGUUUGUGGUUGUCUGCUGCGGAUCAAAACAGCAAUCAACAAGCUACUCCUAUGCUUGUGGAUUUUGUAUUCAUUUCUUAAGGAAAUGGAUAUAAUUUUUAUUUUUAUUUUCCUUUGAACUUCAUACCAGAGUUGAAGUUCAUCUACUUUCAUCGUGUGCAGGCCCAGCGGACUAUACAUAGGUAUCUGCAUGCACAAGGGAGUUACCUCAGCAUAGCAAUAAAUAACGCGUGUAAGUUUGUUUCUAACCAGUGCGUUGAAGGCACAGCCCUGGAGAAUGGCAAUUACUAUGGGCAAGGCUUCACCGGAUCAGGAAACGCGGCCCUGCUGAUGCCGUAUUUUUACCAGAACCAGCUGAACGCGAGUUAUGCAUGUAAUUCAAUGGAGGCAGUCAAUGCAGGUAUUUCUGUUGAAAUGCCACGGAGUAGUUUCCAAACCCCAACGACAGUUCAAUCUGGGACUGAGAACAGCUUCGUUCCAGUCGGGCAUUCAGCAGGUUCAUAUCUGGAAGGUUCCAAAACACUUCCUGGACAAGGAAGCGAGGGGGAUGGGGAAUCAUAUGAGGGCCCUGCGGACGACUAUUUGAACUGGGAUGACACCUGCGCAAACAUCCUAGCUAUCGACUAUGGUCGCUUCGAUCCCGACAGAGGUGCCGGGACCUCUAAAUGACAGGCCGAAAUCAAUCAUCAGAAUUUGGUUGGUCUGGCCAGUGAAUUUCUACCCUUGCAUCAGGAGUGACCUCCCUACCUAUCUAUGAUGUAAUUAACAGCAGUAAGACUGGAUUGUGAAGACUUUCAGCAGUUAGUGUUAUGGUUUUUAUUUAUGAAGAAAGUGCUUUGAAUGUUUCAAGUAAAUAUUCCACUCACCUACUCCUGCAUUUUCUAUCUGCUAACGCCCGUACCUUCUUCUAGGUCGGAAUUUUGUUUCCUACUGAAAUCUCUCAACCUUGGGAUUAAGGUAUUGCAAGAUCCAGAUUUAAAUUAUUUGUUUAAACAAAGGUGGAUUUUGGCACGUGGCUGACGUCCUCCCCACCUUAAGCAAGGCAAGUUUUGAUCUUGCGUGACAAGGCGUGCAAAACGAAAUUUGAUCUUGCAUUACAAGGCAAUUUAUCUAUAGAUUAAGAGUUACUGUAUCUAAAGUGCACUGGCAGACACAUGAUAGGAGCAGGAGGCGUUAUUGAGGCCUGAGGGUACUCCUAACCUGCCUGGACAAUGUUACCAAUAAAUAUUUCUCCAGUUUCCAUGAGAGAGCUAAUUAAUGAAACUAAGGAAGAUGCAUUCAAAUUGUUUGGAGAUUUUAAGGAAUUGCAUUGCCUGCCAUAUGCACUUCUUUUAUCAAAAAGAAAAGGAUACAACAAAGUAAAUCAACACUACAACAUUUCUAGAGCAACGGAAAUGAUCAAAACAUUUUACGCGCCCCAAAUGAAGCUGCAAACUACUAUCAUGUCUUCUAACCUGGAAAAAACGUAUGUAAUAUAACAGGCCUUGAUGGAUUCAGGAUAUCAUCCGAGUCUUUAAUACAGCACAAGUUGAUCAGCUAGAAUUUAGCACGUGCGAAAGAUGUGAACCAAGAGAAUUUCCUCAUACUAUGGAGCAGACACCAAUGGCAACGUUUUAGUCUAUCUUUACAGAUGAGAAAAGGUAAUGCACAAAGUAGAACGAUGUAAGGAGACCAAUGGUGCCAGUAGACAACAUGAUUGCAAUUGCCAUGAUCAGUGAAUAGCCCAGAUAGAGUAUGGCUGACACGGGUCCACUCAAACUCUGUAGGUCAAAGACCAGGUAAUUGAUGGAGUACAGAAAGACAAAGAUUGAAACUGAACCAGAAGCAAAGAAAGCCUUCCACCACCACCGCCAAUCCUCCACACAAAGAUGCAUGUAGGUAAGAACCACAGACACUUCAGCACAGACAAUAACCAGGAGCAGCAGAACUAUCAGCAAGAAACCGAAUACAUAAUAAAACCGUCCAAGCCAGAUGCUUGAGAGAAUAAAAAACAGUUCAAUGAAAAGGGUCCCAAAGGGAAGGGUUCCGGCACCCAGGACAAGCACCCAUGAUGGCAAUUUACGUGCAGGAAUUUCUCUUGGUAUCUGGUUUGUUCUCACUGGGUAUUGAAUUGCCUCAGCUCGUGUCCCCAUGAAUCCUCCCAAGAGAGUGAGUGGCACUGAAAUGCAGAACCAGAGGGACAAAAGGACAAAAUACAAGGAAAUAGGAAUAGCACCAGUACUAUGGCUUCCCCAGAGAAUGAAAUUCAAAAUUGUUAGGAUAACAAAGACAAUCCCAGGGAAGAAGGACGCAACUGACCAAGAGAUGGACCUCCAUCCUUCUGAAGUUCCUUUGAUGGUUCUCCACAUGCGUACUGCAGCAUAGCCUGCAGCAGUACCUAGGAAAAGAUACAGAAGAAUCAUCCCUGUCAGCAGCAUUCCUCGUGAAGCUGGCGACAUGAAACCAAAGGCUGCAAAAACAAUAGUAACUACUGCCAUCCCUGUAAUUUGAACACCAUCUCCAACCAUCACACAGAGAAGCUUUGGGCAAUCUGGUUCUCUGAACACAUCACCGACAACAAGCUUCCAUCCAGAAAGCUCCUCAUUCAUCUGUGCUUGAGCUUCUUUGUCUAGUUCCUCGUACCUAGUCAAAUCCCUUCUCACAGUCCUUAAGAAGAUGACGAAAACAAUACCAGCCAGGAAAAAGAUCACCAUGAGUGAGUUCAGGAUUGAGAACCAGUGAACGCGAGCACCUUCCAUCUUCAAGUACGCAUCCCAACGAGAUGGCCAUCUAAUGUCACUUUUCACAAAUUCAACCACGUAGGUGAAGGAUAUCCUCUCUUGCUCCCUUAUGAUCUGAGACUUGUCGAGAUCCGAGGGGCAGUCCACAAGUGAGAUGUUGUCAUAGAUAUGGUGCUUUGUCAUCACUUCAGGAUCAUACUUAACACUGCAAGGCACAACCACAAAACCAACAAUCUCGAAACCAGAUGCCUUCUUCUUAUCAGAUUCAGAAAUCAUACCCAUGCCUUCUUCCCCAGUACCAAUAACCUCAACACCACUCCCUUCAUACUCAUGAACCAACACAGUGAACUUGAGGUGAUUGAUUAUAUAAUCAUCAUUACUAUUUUGUGGUGUAUACCCAACAGGGAAACCGGUCCACUGAAUGUCAAUUCCAUUUUGCUUGGCAUACCUCAUCACAGGCAAAUUAUCCAAAAUCAUGUUCACUUGAUAUAGAUCACGUGUUCUCUGCUUCAGAAGCUUAACCUCAUGCUCACUCAAAGGCUUGGUAGUGCAAAGGUAAACAGACUCAUUCACAUUCAUUCUAAACCUGUAAGGAGAGUUAUCGAUCUGAUCUCCCAUAAGAAGCUCCCCAAGAUUCUCAGCACUUUUUUUUAUUCCACCAUGGGGUUGGCAAUAAGGGAGACUGUAGUAGCUAAAAGGAAGCUCGGUUUCAAUAGAAGUUAAGGAGUUAACUUUGGCAACGAUUUCAUCCCCGGUUGAAUACGUGUGCAUAUAGCUACCAGGCAAAUAAAACCCAUUGCAUGCUUUGCCAAACAAAACCAGAAGAAGGAAAGCCCAACAGAUCAUGGGCGUCCUCAUUUUCAAUACCAGCAAAAAAAAAGCCACUGGAUUAAACAAAACAAAACAAUUUUAACUCAGUACUCAACCCAAUCUUAUGCCACAAUGCACAUCAAUCAAACAUGAUUGGAUCAACACGCACGCCACACCAAAACAAUAGAGUCAUUCAAAAUUCCAAAACUCUUAGCCAAUGAUAGAUCCAUUAAUUAACCAUAAACUCGUAUAUCUAUCGAUACGAGCAUCAUCUUAAUACAGUUAGAUCUGAUUAGGAAGCUUUACUUUAAAAAAAAAUCAAUAGCAGAUCAGAUAUUUAGAACUGCAGAGCAAUGCAAUUACUUAUUUAAAAUAAAAGAGUAAAAGCACAUUCCAGACACCAAAACCGAAUCCACCAUGAAACAAUACUAGCAACGCAUCAUACCCAGAUCUACUAAAAUCCAUAGGUAUAGCAUUAAAUUAACAAUAAAUUUGAGGAGGAGGUUAGUUACCUCAAUCAGAUCUAGAAAAGUCGUAAACGGUUCGUGUGGAGAGAGAUCGGAUCCGGAUUCGGAGAUGCCCAGGGCGUUACGCAGAGCGCUCGCUCUUUCUCUCGCGAAGUGGAAGAUUCUUCUGUGGGUUUUUUUUUGUCUUGUUUUGUGCGUGGGUGAACUGAAGAUGGAGAAAGGGAAGAGAAAUCACUGAAAUGAAAAGGGAAAGCACGAAUCGGGUGCGUGUGAGGUAUGGAGAGAGUUACAGGGUUACUUAACGAAGGGUGUCUUUAGAAAAAUGUAGAAUGGUUAUAGUUCAAAAUAUAUUUUUUUUAAUGUAUUAAAAUAAUAUUAUAAAAAAAUUACUUUUUAUAUAAAUAUAUUAAAAUAAUUUAAAAACAUAAAAAUUUUAAAUUUUAAAUAAAAAAAUAUAAUCUUAACCGUAUUUAUAAAUAUACAUAAAAUACUUUAAAAAGAAAUUGGGUCGUUACGGCUUGGCCCCACUAUGUAUGGGAUGGGUUAACUUAAUUUGCUGACCGACUUGUCGGUAUUCAAAAAUUCUCAUAAAUCCCCCGACCGUUGGUGGAGAUUAAGAUAACCGGUAUUUAAUGAGAAAAUAGUGCAAGGAGUUAUUAAAAAGUUAAUUUUGAUGUAUCCUUUGUCGUAAAAUCAAAAGAGUUUUUGAAAACUAACCUUACAGGAGGCAAGGUCUCUAUAUUUGAUUGAUGAGAAUAAAAUAUAAAAAAUUUAUUUUAUUUUUAAUAUAUAUUAUUAUUAAAUUUACAUAUUUAAAAAGUAAUUAAAUAUUAUUUUUUAUUAUAGUCUAUAUUGAGUAUUAAAAUUAAUAAUAAUAUAAUAAUCCAAGUUAUAAUAUAUGGUUCACCCUAGCAAGUUAACCCGAGACCUAGACCAAUCUAGUUUAAGAAAAAAUAGAGGAAUAAUUGACAUAAAUAGUUUCGAUCAAAAACUCAAAUCAACCUAUGACUAGGUCAACCCAAGGUAAAACCUAAGUUAAAAAACCAUUGGCUUUUUUUUAUUUUUUUAUCAAAACAAUGUUAUUCUGAUCAUUUUAAAAAAAUAGAAUUAACACAAGUUGACCCUCCUAACCAUGACUCAAGCAUUAUCUCAGUUUGAACACGAGUCAAAUCUUAAAACUAUAAUAAUUAUUAUUUUUAUUGUUACAUGUCUUAGUUGGAUAAUUUUAGAAUUAAGAGUUUUUUACAAUGAUAUUUUAGAGAUAAAAACUUUAAAAAAAAAUUGUCGUUGAAGACAUAUCCACUUUAUAGCUUCUAUUUUGAAAGUGUAAAAGUUCAUUAUAAAAUUGUUUAAGAAGUAGGUUUAUUUUUAUGUUCUUAUCACUAUCUCUUCAACCAAGCAUUUUUAUUUUCACAUUGUCUCUACUUUGCUUUUUUUUAUAGGAGUCAUUAGUUUUACUUUUUGUAUUUUAAUAAAAAAAUCUAAAAAAGAAUUAUGUUAUUUUAUGUCUAAAAAGUUUUGAAAAUGAAAAUGAAAAAUAAAAGGCAAACAUGGUUAGAUGUUUCUUAUGCGCAUUAUUCCAAGAGUCAUAUUGAUAAUUAAAAAAAAAAACUACAAGGGAUUAGCAAAUCAUUGUGGCCCAUUGUAAAUUAGAACAGUGUAAUGAUUAUUUUGCCCUACUCAAACAAAAUUAACUAAUUUGCUAUCAGAAAUAAUAUAAUCUUUACCACAUGAUCCGCGAGUUAAUGUCAAACUGAUUUGGAUAAAUCGGUCUUAUCAUAAUUUUUAGUACACUAAAAUAACUUGAUUACUAUUAAAAGCAAAAAAAAAAUAUUAAACUUGGGUUAAUGAGCUUUUUCAUCUUAUCAAUUUUUAAAACACAAUGAAAUGAUAAAAAUACUCUUAAAAUCAAAAUUUCUUUAACUUGCAUCAAGGGGCAUUUUAAUCUCUUUGUUGUGGUUUUUUUAUAAUGAGAUCCACUUAAGUGUUAUUUAGUAAUUUAACAAACAUAAAUAUUAUUAAAACAAAGAAAGUGGUUGAUGCUUCGCCCUCCAUUCCUAGGUAGCAUGUGUGGUCACAACAUCUGGUUUGGUGCCAAUGAUCUUUUUCUUUUCUUUUCUUUCUCCUCCUCGAUUUUCAUGUCUAACCCUUAAAAUUUUCAGAGCAACUCUUCAAUUUGUUUUUCCUUCAAAUUUGAUCCAUGUUCUUUUAAUUACUAUUUAUUUAUAUGAAAUAAUUUAUAAAAUUGAAAUUUAUUUUUAAUUUCAUCCUCCUUUGAAUUUUUCUCAUAUAACAGAAUUAGUCAUUUUUCUUUUUAUUGCUAUUUUUUUAAUUUAAGGUAAUUUUUUAAAUUGAAUUUUUUUUUAUGAUUUUAUCCUUCUUUAGUUUUUUCCAAUAAUUUUCCAUCCUCAUUCUUUUGAUUGAUAGUUUUUUUCCUUUGGCAAAUUUUUUAAGUUGAUUUUUUUUAAUUCAUCUUUCAAUAUUAAAUUGGUUGAAAAUUGAGUUUCUUGAUUGAGCACAUGUCUAGAAUUUCAUGAGUUGUGAGUUUAGGAGAUUAACAUAGUUUUAAAAGAUUUACCUGAAUUUACAUGUUUUUUUUCUUUUUUUAAGCUCAUGUUUUUUCAAUUUCAUUUUUUAGCAUUUAUUUAAUUGGAGAUUGGGCUUGUUAUUUUUUUUAUUUUUUUUCUAUUGGAUUUUUCACCGAUUUUGAAAAUGAUUCAAGUUAUCCCACUUUCAACAUUGAGUUUUAUAAUAAUUAAGCUUCAUAGUUUUAUUUAAUAUGUUUUUGACGAGAUUACCAUUAUAUCACAAUUAGGUCGCGAAUUUAGCAUUUGAAAGUUUAGGUGAACCCAGGAGGGGGUGGAUUAGGUUACCCAUUAAAAACUUCUUCAUAGCUUAAAGCACAAUACAACACAACCUAAAGAUCAAACCAAAUAAGUAACUCAAGUAUCAAUAGAAACAAACUUAAAUAAACAUUGAAACAAUCAACAUUUUAAGACGAUCAUAAAUAAAUAGAAAAGAGAGUUAAGAGGUUAUGCACUCAGAUUUAUAUAGAGGUUUGAACAAUCGCCUACUCCUCUCCCCAAACCACCGUUUAAGAGUUUCACUAACACUCACUUGGUAUACUUCAUGGGUGAGACCAAACCUUUACACAAUCUUUUUUACAUGUUAAAGAUUAAAACCUUUCUCAAUCUUUUUUGGAGUUUAAGAUCAAACUCAAUCAUUUUACGGGCUCAAGAUUAAAUUCAAUCCUUCUGCACAGGCUAAGGAUCAAACUUAACACUUUAUCCUCUAACGAGUACAAGAUUAGAAAACCUUUUCUGACCCAUACUUGUAAUUAGACAACUAUUAAAUCACUUAAAUAGUCUUUAAGAGGUUUUUUCAAGUGUUUAAGUGUCACUUAUACUUUCCACAAUACUACCCUCUUAAUAUAAUUGAAUGGAAUACAAAUGAAGCGCUUGAAGAAACUUUACCAAUAAUAAUUCAACCUUGUUUCUAGAUAAAUCAAAAGUAAAGCUAAAGUUGCAGGAGGUUGUUAAGAGUGAGAAUAUGAUCAUAAUUUUGCCUUGAAUGUCUUCAAUCAUUUUGCUGAAGUAAGAGGUAUUUAUAAAGCUAAAAGAUCAAAUUAUCCAUUCAGCACACUUUUCAAAAUAUUUUUGUCUGUUGAAGAAUUGGUUAGAUCAUUGCUAAAACCGUUUAGACCAUUUUACCAAAUGGUAACCUGAUUUUUAAAUCAACUACCGAUUUAGCUACUAGAAGAAUUCUCCUAUUUUGUGUACUUUGGUAUUUUCUUGGUUUUCUUAUGUUCUUUUGAGUUUGUUGAGGUUUUGUAGGUAUGAAAAAUUAUUCCUAAAUGACUUGAAAGUUAUUUGGUAAAACCUUCUUUACAAAAUCUUGAUAUUUUAAGUUGAAAGUCGUUAUUGUCUCAAGAUUCUUAUUUGAAGUAGAAAAUUAUCAUUACAUCAGUCAUGUAUCUAUACCUUGCUACUUUGAUGAUUUCUGUCACGAUCGAUAUCUCGGUGACCUUUAAAAAUUAGAAGAAAAAAAUAAAUAUAUGACAUAUAUUCUUAGAUGGAAAGGUCUUGUUUAAGGAGUUGUCACCUAGUAUGUAGUUAUUAGAAACUCUAGCCGGUUAACAAAGAUUUUAUGGUUCGGGUCUAACCAUGCAAAAAAGAAGAAGAUAUCAUUACCCACAAAGCAUUCUACUUAAGGGAGGUUGUAUUGUUGGUUUUGUCUUAAAUCGCUAUGGGUUGUUAUGUUAUCAAUGGUUUGCCUAUAUUAUUUUUUACUCUGGCUUCAAUAAAUAUUAGGUUUAUUAUUUCUGAUUUUGGUUAGUAAAUACAAAGAAUGAUAUUUUUUAUUUUGGCAUCGGCAAAUACCAGGGUUGGUAUUUCUAACUGAUAUUAGUGAAUAUUUUUUACUCUAUCAUCAGUUAAUACUAAUUGUGAAUCAACUUAUCUUGAACAAUCUUAGGUUAAGUUUUGAGAUGAACAUUGAACCCUCGAGAAUAGCAAAAAUAAACUUUGAAUCCUUUUAAAAACCUUCUCAUUGUUUAUUUUCAAAGAUGAAAAAAUGAUGAGUUUGAUUUUAGUUUUUUGUAUAUAAGCCCAAUAAGCCAUUUAUUUUAGGCCAAACUUUUAAUGAACUUGAUAAACUUGUUAUCAGGGUAAAAAACAAUACAUCUUUUAAUGCUAAAAACACAAACAUCUUUUUUUUAUGCUAAUCAUGAUACUUUUUAUGCUAUAUUAUACAAAGAGAUAUUUUUUUAGUCUUGGCCAUGUGCAAUUUUUUAAGAAAAAAAUGAUUUUUUAGUAUUCUUUAUUCGUUCUUUUUUUAUAUGUUAUUUGUUAACACAAACCAAAAAAAUAACAAAAUAAAAUAAAAUCAUGCAUAACGCACACACUCAUUCUUUACUAAUCCACUCUCACACACUUAUAAUUACACAUUUACAAUUUAAAUCACAAGCAAACACACAAUGAACAUAUCAAUGUAAAUAAAAUCCCUCUAAGCUCCCAAAAUCCACCUCUAAAGGCAAAUGAAACUGUCAAAAUUAACAAAAAAAAAAUUGUUAGAACAGUGUCAGUUUAUGGCAAUAUGUAGGUGACACGCACAGCCGAGGAUGGUAGGGCGUGCAAAUGACGUUAUGGUGUAUUGAGAGGUGCAUGGCGGAGUGGAUUGGGAAACUCUUCCUCUCCUCUUUAUGCUAGCGGUGAAAUUCACUAUCAUAUACAAACAAAAACACCACACAAGCAAAGUUUUGGAUUUUAUUUUUUACAUAUAUAUACUUCUUUGGUUAAGAAGGAAAACAGGGUCUAGCUUGUGAAAAUCAAAGGAACAACAGUGGAUAUGGAAAUAUGUUAAUGAGUGGGUCAUGUUUGGUCUAUGGGUCGUGUGUAGGUGGUGUUAGGUUGAAAGCUUGAAGUAGAGGAGAGGGAGGAUAUCUUUGGGUAUGUUUUAAGUUCAGGUUUAAUGGGUCUAUGGUGGUUUUAUGGGUCUUGAUCGGUCGGUCUUAUGGUGUUGACUGAACGAGGAGGCUAGUGUUGGAUCGUUGUUUGUGGUGGUUUGAUCGUGUGUAAGCUUGUGGCAGUUCAGUGCUGGUUUAGUCGGUUGAAGGUGCAAUGAAGGGAAAGGUUGUGGUGGGUGAGCUACUGAUCCAUGACUAGGUUGCUGGUGGGUGGUGGAGCUAAAGUUGUUACUUGUAGAAGAGAGGCUGACAUGAGGAGGAAGAGGAGGAAGAGGAAGAGAGCUUGGCAUCAUUGGUGGCUUUGGUUUCAAAAAACAAAUUGAGGGAGAAAAGGGGCAGCUGGUCUAGGUAGCGCUGAAAAGAGAGAGAAACAAAUAAAAAGCUUAGGGUUUUUAUUUGUUAGUCACAGUGAGGGAGAGUCUUGGUCUGUGAGGAGUGGUUGACUGAGAGGGAAGGGGAGGAAAGGCAAUUGGUCUUGUCUUUUUUCUUUUAUGUUUUUUUUAGGAAGAAAAUAGACAGGGUUUUGGGUCUUUUUUAUUUUUUUUUUCGGUUUUCACUCUAAUCUCGUGAUUUUUUUGUGUAUGCUCUUUUUUAUCUCUUUUUUUUAUAUGUUCCCCCUCCCCUUUUUUGUAUAAUGAGGUAUGCAUUUAUAGUAGAGAGUUUCAAAGUUCCAAACAAACACAAACUCUAUCUUUUUUUUUCAAAUUUAAAUUUGUUUAAAAUUUAAAAUCAAAAGGGUUAACUGAAAAUAUUUUGAUGAUCUUUUUCAAAUUGAAGAUCAGGAGAAAAGGGUAAAUGCACACUAUAGUACCUAGUUUUCCCACAAGUUGACAAAUCACACCUUUAAUCGAAAUUAAUCCCUGAUAUUUUAAUAUCUAUUUCUUAACCCCUCUAAAAGAUAAAUUAAUAGCAAAUAGGUCAAAAUUAGGUUAACAAUUUCCUUGAAUGAUUUCAUUCUCUUGAAGCCUGUAUAAAUCAUCACAAAGCUUUAUAUAUAUAUUCAUUAAGUAGAACUACUUAUCCUAGCUCAUAAGCAUACCUUGACUUUGUAUAUAAUCAUCAUAUAACUUAAGUACUCAUGCAUAUUUCAUAUAAACUUAAGCAUUAGUGCAUGUUUUAAACCAGCAUUUUUUUUAUAGGCAUUCAAAUAACUAAAUAAUUAUCUCAUUAUUCAAAAACAUAAAGAUUCAAAUAUGAUAUCAUAAACGUUAAGCAUAUGAGAUAAAUCAAGUUAAGUUAUAAGUUUAAGACAAAUUGACUCUUGAAUGCAAAACAUGUCAAAUAUUGAGUUUAAAACAACUUAACUUUUGAGUAUAAAACCAGUUAAACAUUAAAUUUAAAAUGACUUAGCUUUUAAAUAUAAAAUCAAGUUAAGUACAGCUAUUCAAAAGUAUUGCUAAACCACUUUGUUGAAAAUAUAGACAAUAAACUUUUAGUGUGAUCAAAUAAAUAAAACACAAAAAAUCAUUUAAUCAAGUUAAAGAAAAAAAUGAUAUAGCUCAUUAAAGAUAUUAACUUGCACAUGAAUACAUAUAAGUAACAUAUUAAUGAAACUUCACUUAUUCAUGUAAAACAUUAUUCAAAACAAAACAGUACUUAAUUAGUAUUCUUUCAACAUAUUAAUGCAACAAAUAAAGUCAAUUAAAAUAUCAUUUUUUUAUGCUAAUUUAAGUUGUCAAUGUAAAACAUGUACAUAAACAUACAUUAAAUAACAUCAAUCAUAUAUUUCGUUAUCAUUAAAAUCUGAUACCAUAUAUAAACAUAUAUUAAACAACAUCAAUUACAUAUUUUGUUAUCAACAGACUCAUACAACAUUAAUCACAUGUUUUUUAUAAUCAAAACCUUAGAAUUGGUAUGUAUCUAGACUAAUAGCAUGCUAACCUGGAUAAGCUCAGGUUGGGUCUUUUUAAUUUUUCUUGGAUUAUAUUUUUUUAUGCAAUUUUGUCCUUUAAUAUUUUGUUUGCUAGAAAUUAAGCUUUAAAUUUUACUUUCUAUGGGUUAUCAUGUUCUCAUUUAAUAUUUUUAAUUCAUUAUUAGAUAAGAUCUUUCAACAUUUGCUUUUUGUAAAAUUUAUUUUUGUAUUUCAAUUUCAUACUUCAACAUUAGAUUGAUUAGGAAUUGGUCUUCGUGUUUUUUUUUUUCCCUUUCUAUAGGGUUAUCCCAAUAUAAGCCUAUGAUAGCAGGGUUAACUGGUUAACCUAGUUUAACUCAAGUUUUUUUUGUUGUUUUUUUUUUAAAAAAACAAAUUCUUCAAUAUUGUCCUUUAAUAUUGGGUUGUUUGAUAAUUGAGUUUCAUGGUUUUAUUCAAUUUAUUUUCAAUGGGGUUAAUCCAGUAUCAUGACCAAGUUGCAUAUUUGUCAUGUUGACCUGGAUGGGCUCGAGUCGGUUUUUUUUACUUUUUUUUCGUUGCCAAUUUUUGUUUUCAUUUUACUUAUUGUCGUAGUAUUUUUUUCAUUCAUAUUAUUAAAUUAGCCGAACUUAUUAAAUUUAAUUAAGUCAAUGAAUCGAGUCUAAGAUUUUUUUAGGAAUGCUUGCAUUGUUUUAACAUUCUUUUUUUAUGUUGGAAAAAAAUCGGGUCAACCCGUGGUAUAAUACGAGUCAUCUAUCUAGUUAACAAAAUACUAAACAAUAUGACUAAAUCACAGUAACUACAUGAAUAAUGUUUCAUGUUUUUUCUUAUUCAAUUUCACCCCUUUUUUAAUUUAGUUUUUUUUUUAUCAUUCAAUAUUAGGUUGUGUUUGUGAAUUGUGGUUCAAAAUUUUUUUGAUUUCUUUUCUUUUGGGUUAUAUAUCAAUCUCAUGGAUCCAUUUUUUUUCUUGAUUUCAAUCUUCAACAUUAAAUCUAUUGGAGGUGGAGCUUCGUAAUUUUUUUAUUCGUUUUCUAUAAAUUUAUCUCAAUUUUAUAACCUAGGCUGUGGGUUUAGCAUGUUAAUUAGGGUUAACUCGGUUUAUUUUUUUACUACUUUUUCUAAUUGUUUUUUUUAUUUCAUCAUUCAACAUUAGGUUGGUUAGAAAUUGGGCUUCAAGUUUUUUUUAUUUACUUUCUAUGAGAUUAUCUUUAUCUCAUGACUUAGGUCACGGGUUUUGUAGGUUUACAUAGGUUGAUUUUAUUCAUUUUUUUUUCCUUUUUAAUUAAAUAUUUUCUAAUUUGGCUGCAUAAUUUUUUCCGAUUUGUUCUCUAUAAGGUUAUCUCAAUUUAAUGACAUGGAUUACGAGUUUGAUAGGUUAAUUCGGGUUGAUUUGAUUCUCUUUUUAGAUCCUUUUGUAAUUGAAUAUUGUUUUUUCAAUUUCACCCUCCAACAAAUCAAUCUUAUUUUUUAUAUAUUUAAUUGUUUUUUUUAAUUUUAUAUUUCAAUAUUAAGUUGUUUGAGAAUUGGAUUUCGUAUUUUUUAAUUUGUUUUUUGUAAAGUUAUCUCAAUAUCAUUAAUUUAGUUUUUUUUCUCUUCUCGAUUUCAACCUUCAACAUUGAAUAUGUUAGAAAUAGAGAUUCAUAAUUUUUUUAUUUGAUUUUUAUAAAGUUAUUCAAUCUCAUGAACCAAGUUGUGAGUAAGGUAGGUUACCCAGGUUUCCUCGGGUAGGACUUUUUUGUCAUUUUUUUAAUCUAAUUUUUUUUUUAAUUUUAGCUUUCAACAUUGGAAUUAUUAGGAAUUGACCUUCAUAAUUUAUUUUUAUUUGCUUUCUAUAAAGCUAUCACAAUCUUAUGACUUAAAUCGUAAAUUUGACAGGCUAACCCAAGUCAAUUCAAUGUUUUAUCGUUAUAAUAUUUGAAAAAAAUAUCAUCCAAUAUAUUGCCUUAUCAAUAUUUUAAAAAAAAUAUCUUCCAAUAUACAUUAUAUUUUAAGUUCAUAAUUAACAAAAUUUUCUUAUUAAAAAACAUGUUAGUGAAGUUUGAAUUUUUUUCUCUACAUUAAAAAAAUGACCCGACUGACCAUAUCUGGUGAGAGUAAUAAUUAAAAUGAUUCGGUAAUAAUUAUUGCCCUAUUUAUUUUUACAUUUAAAAAAUACUCUUACAAAAAUUUAAAUAUUUUUUUUUUCUUCAAGUUAAUUAUUGUGGAUUACAGCACCUAAUAACAAUAUCUGGUGAGAGUUCUGAGGUUACACAAUUAGAGUUGAGCCCGAAACACACAAGCAGUGGCCCAGCCCAAAGCAGAAAAGAAGGCCUCUACUCUCCUCUCCUGUUCAGAAAUCAUAAAAACACACACAAAAUCGAUCGAGUGGAAUCAUCAGCGCCACCACUCCCUUCUUCAAUCCUCAUUUCCAUUUGAUUCGACCGCACUUUUUAGUUUCAGGUUAGUUUUUCUGUCUUUUAUAUAUAUACACACACUAAGAAGAAGAAGAAAAGUCUCUUCAAACUCCAUAUCCUCGAUCUCCUUUUAUUUAUUUAUUAAUAUAUAUGUUAAACCCUACUCAUUUUGUGGGCAGGUUUUUGGGCUAUUCUAAUAUUUUCUGUUCUUGAAAUUGAAAUAGUUUUUCUCUUUUGAAUUUUCAUGUUAUUAAGACUGUAUAGGUUUUUGUAGAAAUGGCUCUAUGUAGAAAUGCUAAGGGUCCUCUUUCAAGAAUGCUAACUACCAGGCCGGGUGUUGGCUAUGGACAAAGUUAUUCUACAGCAGCCAUCGCCACUCCCAUUUAUCAGUCUGCAGAUGACAAAACUGCAUUUAGAUAUGCAUUUGGAGUGCUUUCACGGCGAUUUUGCUCUCAAACACCUCCUGCUGCAGCAGUCCAAAUGAGUCUCAUUAAGCAAUUGAGAGAACGGACUAGCGCUCCUAUCAAAGAUGUCAAGGCUUCUCUUGUCCAAUGCAAUUGGGAUAUUGGUAAGAGAAUGGAUGAAAGAGAAGUUGGAAUUAUUUUUUUUUAUUUCGUAAUUUUUAUGGUUUUGAAUUUGGGAUGUGGUGGAUUAAUUUAUCUGUACAUGUAGAGGCGGCACAGACGGAUUUGAGGAAAAGAGGGAAAGUUUUGGCAAUGAAAAAGGCGGGUAGAGUUGCCACUGAAGGAUUGCUUGCAUUGGCUCAGAAUGAGGGGAAGGCUGCUGUUAUUGAACUUAAUUGUGAAACUGACUUUGUUGCCAGAAAUGAAAUUUUCCAAUACUUGGUUAGUUUGUAGUUUUUUUCACUUUUCGUUGUACUAGCCUUCUUUGGGGAUUUAAAGUUGCCUCCAAGUUCUCCAUGGUUAAUGUUCCGAACCUUAUUCUGUUAUUGUGAUAAUGCAGGCUUUAACUUUAGCAAAGCAGGCUUUGCUGGUUGAAAAUGCUUCUCAGCUGGUUUCGGGGGUCCACCCUGUAGGUCUCGAGUCUCUGGAGGUGAGAUGAUACUUUUUUGUUUACAAUUACUUUUCCUGGGAUAAUUUUCAGUAGCUCAUACUGUGGUAUCUGACUUCAAUUAGGUUUUGAGUUCCCCAACAUAUUAGGAUCUGUUAGUGAAAUUGGGUUUCUUGGAUGUUAUGAGUGAAUAAUUUUAUCCUAAUCAGGAGUUGAAGUUAAAUCUUGAACAUCCAAAAAUAAGUGGAGAUACAACUGUUCAAAAUGCAAUUACAGAAGUGGCUGCAAUGAUGGGUGAGAAUGUAAGACUCAGAAGGGGCUUUGUGAUGUCUGCACCUUCACCCGGUGUUCUUUCCACUUACCUUCAUACUAGUCCUCAACCAGGUACAGUAUUUUGGAAGUGCCUUCCUUUCUUUUCAAAGAAGAUUUUAUUCUUGCAUGCACACACAGCACAAACACCCUUGGCUCAUACUCAUAGAAUGCUCAACAGAACAUGCCAUGAUUUCUAAAAUUUCAUAUGAGCUAGAGGGUCUGGGAUACCGAAGGAUCUCAUUUGGCUUGUGCCACCCUAUGUGCAUGGAUGUAGGUUUGGGCCGUAUUGUGGGACUUUUAUCUCUUGAGAUAGAAGAUGGAAAUUCUCCGUUGGAGGCUCUCCAGCGUGUUGGAUCAGAAUUGGCUGUGCAUCUGGUAGCUGCAAAACCAUUAUUCUUGACUAAGGAAGGUGUUUCCUCUGAUGCAUUAGAGAGUGAACGUGAAAUUCUUAAGUCUCAGGUAAAUUGUUACUUGUGAAUCCAUGCUAGCUCUGUCGGUAGAUCUUAGAAGUCCAUCUUGAUUUGUUCUAUUUCUCUGUUGUCGGUUAACCAUGAUGUUAGAUCUGAGAAGCCCAUCUUACUUUGUUCUAUUUUUCAUACCUGCUUUUAGUCAUUUGUUUUGAAAUUUCAAAGAUCUCUUUCUGAAGUAUUUUCUUGUUAUAUCGUAGUUCCGACCUUUUUCUUUUGGGCUACAUCUAAGACAUUUAUAACCUAAUUUAGCUUUGUGGAUGCAUCUUUGCUUUGAUGAUUGUACCUUUUCCAUUUGAAGGGUUAGUUUGUGGUUUUAGAUGUUGCAUAUGUGAUGCUAUCCACCAAACUGAAGCAACAGGGUGCUGCAAGAUAUUAUGCUAUUGGAUCCUAGGCAGAUGAUGAAAUAUAAAAUCCAAUGAGAAAUUGAUAAAAUCAAGAUGAUGACAUGGGCAGUAUCAAAUCUUUUGGUAUGAUGCAUUUCUUAGGAGUUAAGUGUUAUUGCAUGAAUAUUGGUUAUGUUAUGACAAAAAUAUGGGUUGAGGUUUUCUAACAAAAAAGGAUAGAUUUGGGCUGUGAAAAGUAUUGAUUUCACUGAUGAUUGGACAUUAAAGGAACUACAAAUACAAAGGAAUUGGUGCUGCUGAUUCCAAGGUUCAUCUCAGUUGGGUUUGCAUCAGAAAACGUUCAUUUUGGAACUUCCUGUGGGAGAUGCAUAUUUUUCUUGUUAUGUUUAAGCCAUCAUUGACCAAUGCUAUUUGCAUUACUAUUUUUCUUUGGUCAUAUUGCUGCAUCAUUAUAUUAUUGUGUAAAAAAGAUGCAUGUCAGUCAAUGUUAGAUUAAAUAUGACAUAGGCAAACUACAUGCAGUAACCUGUACAAUAUAGAUUGAUUGAGGCAUGUUAACAUGUAGAUCCUUCUGUUGUGAAGGAUGUUCUAAUGGUUAUGCUGAAAAGUUCUCUACUUUUUUUGUUCAUUUUUUGGUAGGUUAAUGUACUUUACAACUGUUUUCUAAUUGAUUUAUUUUUCCAUGUAAAGAUUUUAAUUAUUAAUAAUGGGUUUUUAUAUGUCAGGCAGAAAGUACAGGGAAGUCUCAAAUGGCCAUAGAGAAAAUGGUGGAAGGCCGUUUGCGUAAAUACUACGAGGAAGUUGUUUUGAUGGAGCAAAAAUUUGUUAUGAAUGAUACAAUGAACGUAAAGGUAUUCCAGGCCACCAUCUUUCUCUCCAUCACACACACACACACACUCUGCACAAGCGUGUGAAUGUGUCUUGUUUGUGUGUGCAUCAUAUGAUUUAUACAAUGCAAUUGUAAAAAAAGUGUCUUACAUGCUGCAUCACAGACACUGCUCAGCAAUCUAUCGAAGGAAGUGGGCUCGCCUGUGAAGAUAGGUAACUUUUUCAGAAUGGAAGUUGGAGAGGGAAUUCAAAGGUAUAGAAUGCUUUUCACCUGGAAGAAAACAUAGAUCUAGUGACUAGGGAAUAAGGAUUUUUUUAACAAUUAUGUCUUCUCCUCUCUUUGCAACUUAUUUGGUAUUUCAAUAUUCCAAAGGCAAGGAAUAACCAUCUUUGUACCCAUAAAUUUACUCAGCCUUGAUUACCACGGGAAACUAUCCCUGUCCUGGUACGAACCUUUGAUGCCAUUUUCAGAAAGCCUGGUGGCAUUCUGCAUGUAACAAUGUUACACUGUAACAGAUAUGGUGUGGUAUCUGAAUAGCAGCAAAUAAAUGUGACUUCACAAUUAAUACUGGUUUGUUAACACUACUGUACAGCUGUUUUCUUGUACCUUGGCUCAUUAUGUUUGAUGGCAGUUAAGGAAUUAAUACCUGCUAGUUAUGAGAAAAAUCAUAAAGCCUGCAGAAAAGACCUAAUUUCCCCCCUUUAUGUUUGGUAUUCUAACUGGUGUAGUUUUCAGGGAGGAGGCGUUGGGUGCAGAUGAACCAGUGGCUCAGGCAGCUUGAUUUUAGGAGAUGCUCUUCCUUGAUCUGUGUAGCUCAUGAAGAUAGGCGAUAACAAGUUAAAGAUGUGAUUCUGAAGUUGAGGGCCAUCUUGCUUUUGUAACAUUUUAAUGGCCAGUGUGUUCUGCUAGCAGAUGCUAUUUUUAAUGCAAUGCCGAGAUGAAUUUGUAAUGAUAAUUUUGUUAUUGGCCACGAGUAUGAAAUGCUGCUUCCUUUCUCAUACAGGAUUUUGAGCUUUUAUACACAUACUGGGAAAAAUUAUAUGUUGAACUGUUGACCAUUUGUUCUCUAUUUGAAGCUGGCCCAGGGUAGGGUGAUGGACUUUUCUUUUGUGGGUAUAGUUGAACUUGCCGAGAGACAGAAAAGCCUCGCAUACAGUAUAUUUUUACCCUAGGUGGAAGGGGAAACUAGAAGCGAAAAAGUUAACCCGAAUGUUUGAUAUUUUGAAAAAGUUAACCAGAAAGUUAACACAUUUAUCUUUACCUUCCCCUGCAGAUGUUCUCAAGAACGGUGCAUCUAUUUGCUUGUGGACAAUUCGUUACAAUCAAACCUUUAGCCACAAAAGGUACAAAAUAUUAGUUUAUGUUGUUCUAUCUACGUUUAAUCCUGCAAAUAAGCUCCCAUGUAUUAGAGCUGUUCGAAUUUGAACUUGUUACUAACCCUUUAAUAUAAAAGCAUGGGUGCUUGUACAGAAGUUAGAUGACCUCAAUGUAUAAAUGCAAUAGUCUAUAGUUUUAAACUAGAUAGGCAAUCUGUGCCGCACCAGCCAACCAAAAGAAUUUUAACAUAGAAAAGGGAUCCUUAGGCAAUGAUAGGAAUUUAAAAAAAGUAAAAAACACUCGAGUGAUUAACUUGACUGAAUUUAAUAAAAUUAAGUAAUGUAAUAAUCUGAUUUAAAUUAUAGAUAAUGAUAAUAGACAAAAUUUACAGAAAAUAUUUGGCAACAAUUAGCUAAAACAAAUGAGUCACUGAUAUCAUACCCGAAAGGAAAAAAAAGAAAAAAUCAUUGAAGACUCAUCAUCAUUCUACUGCGGACAUCACCCACCAGCAAAAAACUUGAUAAGACGGUUUAAACCUCACUACAAAAGGCUACACAACGACAUCAAAAGAAGUUGCAUGAGUCAUUAGAGCAACACCCUAGAAAAGAAAACUGAAAAAAACAAAAGGAAGUGAGUAUCCGUUUAUAUUCAUUCAAUCAAUCAAUUCUAUUUAAUUCAAGAAUAAAAUUCAUUCUAAAAAAUAAAUUUAACAAAGAACAAUAAAUAAAAAGACCCGAGAUAACUCAAUUAAAUAAAUAAAUAAACAAGCAAACAAAAGGUGUGGCAAGUUGAAAAAAAAUAGAGUCCAACCUCGAAUUAAAUAAAUGUUGAAAGAUGAAACUGAACAAACAUCAUCUUAAAAACAAGAUUAAAAAAACAAAGCAAUCUCGAGUGAAUCUCAUAAAGUUAGGUUAAUUUCCAAAACUUUCAACCUAUGAAAUUUUAGAUAAUAUUUUAACCAAGAAGUUUAAAUCCAAACUAAUUAAAUGUUAAAGGAUGAAAUAAGGCAAAAGAAAAUAUCAAUCUAAAAAAUCUUGCAAGGGAAAAAAAUAAUAAUCAAAAGAAUAAGGAUAAAAUCCAAUAGGAAAAAAAAAAUAAUAGAGGAUGAAAUCACAAAAAAAAAUAUUCAUUCUAAAAAUUAUCUCAAAUUCUAUAAAUAAUAAUUAAAAGAAUGAGGAUCAAAUUUGAUAAAGCAAAAGAUUGAAUGAGGAUGAAAUCAAAAUAAAAUUUUAAAUUCAGAAAUUAUUUCAAAUAAAACAAAUAACAACUGACAAAAUAAGGACUAGAAAAAAAGAAAGAGAAGUUUAGUAAUUGAUUUAAAAAAGCACAAACAACAAGGAAAAGAGGAAAGAAAAAAAAAAUAGUCAUUAACUCUAAACCAAAAAUCAUUUCUAAUAAAGAAAAUGUUGCGAUGAACUAGAAGCCACCCUGAAAUAAUAAUUUUGGCCACUAUAAUCAUUUACACGCAUCGUUUGAAUGCAGCAAAGCGACGCGCAAAUCAAUGUUUUUUAAAUUACUUUUGAUUUAUGAAAAGACCAAAUUGCCACCACCCCAACCCACCCCAACCCAACCCAUUAUAUAUAUAUAUAUAUAGCUUAACGUAAAAAUACCCUCUGACCAAAGGGUAAAAAUUUAAACUUCAGGGUAGCUAGGUUUUUUUAAUAUACAAGAAAGAUACAAAAAAGCCCUCCACUUUUAGUUAAUUUUUUUUUAUUAUAAGGGUAAAUAGAUUAUUUAACUCUCUACACAUUCUGUAACCCUCAAUUUAUUUAUUUUAAGAGCAGUGAUAUAAACUUAUUGUGCCAUCAAAAAAACAAAAUACCAAUCCUAUCCCAAUCAGUUUAAAAAUACAAAAAUAUUCGUAUUAUUAUAAAAAUGAUUCUACCCAUUAGAUUUUUUUAAAGGGGCAAAGAAGGUGAAAGCUUCCCGUCGACGGUUUUUAUUUAUUUUAUUUUUUUCAAUUUUGUGAGUUGGUUCGAUUCUCUAGCUUCAUCACAGGUGCCAUCGCUGCUGUGUACCCGAGCACAUACCUGUUAUGGCCAUUAAUUAAGCUGCUUCAUUAUCACAAGAGAAACAAGAGAGGGAGAUUUUCUUACAGAGAAUUACAAAAGAGCUUUUCACACCAAUGGUUACAAUGAGUAGGAGAGGACUGGAAAGGGGUUCAGAGGGGGGUCUAUUCCUAUCCCCAAACAGGCAAGAAUGAGCCCUAAUGAAAUUUAAGGCUGGUCAAGAUAUUGUUGUGGACAGGAUCGGCCAGGUGAUCCAGGAGGUUUUGGUAUGGUCCGACUCCGGUCACGAGACCUUGCACAAAGUAACCCAAGAUGGCCAACAUAGCCAACCUGCCAUUCUUCACCUCCUUCAACUUCAAGUCUUUCAACGACUUCUCGUCUUUCCCAAAUCCAAGGGGGUUAAACAAGGGUCCGCCAGGGUAGGCUGGUUCUCCGGACCCACCCAAAUACUUCUCGAAUCCCAGGAAAUACUGCUUGCCCAUGGAACCUGGUUUUGCCCAGUCCUGUAACCUCCUGUGCUCUGCGAAUCCCAUGAGUGCCAUCUCGAAAACAAACAGCGUGUAUGGAUCUGCCCAGUAGCUGUAUGUCCCGGCCGGUGGGAUGACACCAGUCCUGAACCAAGGGAGGGCGGUCUCCGGAGGUAUGAGGCCAGCCUUUCCAAGAAUUUCUGGUGCAAUGGCACCAACCGCCCCCAACAUGGCAUAUCGUCCGUUAAUGAUCUCACCGUAGGCUAACCAUUUUGGCUCAAUGAAACCUCCUGUGCCUUCAGGGUCUGAAAGUCCGAGUGGGUCGAAUCCGAAGUCACCUGGAAGGCUAUAGAGUAGAAAUUUCGAAGAGGAAAAGCGAAUUAGAUGCCGACUUA
rnacentral:lncRNA from 1 species